AGGAAACGGAAAAUCAUGCAACUCAGAAAACCAUUGCUCUAGUCCAAAUGAGGUUCUUCAAUGCCUCAAGCUUUUCUAAACACCAUAGCCUGAACCUUUUCCUUUGCGCCUUCUUUACUUCACCAGAAACGUUCUUAAUGAGCUCUUCUUCAAAUUUGGGACGAGCAGGCAUUAGGCUGUGCACAAUGCUGUAAAUGCUCCUAGCCCUUGCCACACCCUAGGCGCAUACGCGUGCAUGUCCGACCUGAGUUAUCUCAUUACGCGCGCAGUUUGAUCUUCCCGUAUUGACAUCCCUGCUGUCUAUUCUCCUGCGAAUCCUUCUACUGGUGACUUCAUCCGGGUCCAUUUUCUUGCUCCUCAGUGCAUGUUCAUCUGCUUUUCCAUGUUAAUAGAUAUAGGAAUCCUAUGAGAAACAACAUUUGACAAAACAGAACCUAAUAAUAACAACAAAACUUGACUUCAUCCUCAGUGCAUGUUCAUCUGCUUUUCCAUUUCAAAGCAGCUGACGGCAUGAUUCGUACUUGGACUCCAAGAUGUCUAGAUUAUAGGGAAACCAGCCCUCUAUCCAAAACACACAAAGAAGUGUAUUUUCCGUUUAUACCAAUUAAGUGUGUUGAAGCAUGUCCCACAUGGCCACAUCGGAAACUUGUCGAAGCUUAAAUCCUCUUAUAUAGAAAGUUGAACUACUAAUGCCAUGAGGCCUUAAUUUUGUAUAAAACCAUACUUAUUGAAUUGCACACGUGCUUAAGUUAAGGUCAGUAUUGAUGGCAAUUAGUAGUGGGCCGCUGGGCCGUCUUAAAAAAACUGGUACAAAGGGCAAUUUAUAGAAGCAGUGUUGAGAUAAGGGCAAUUCACCUGUUCCUUUUAGAAGGAUAUAUACGAAUGAAGCAAGGUUUAUCUACUCACCCGUAAUGCGGCUCAGCCCUUCAUAAAAAAGUGAAAGAUCAAAAUUACUUUUACAGCAAGAGCAAUACCAGAAGAUGUAAUCUAAAUUAUUUAUAUUUGGUUCCCUUGAAAUCCUUUUGACUGCUUCAACAUACUAUAUGCAAACAGAACCAGAACCAAGUCCAGACUCACUCGUAAGAGGAAGUCCACCGGGGGUGGGAUAGGUCGGCACCCAAUGGAAAAAACAGGCUGAGACUCAGCCAAUCCACUCCAGCCCGUGGAAUCGACUGGCACCCAGCCCAAGCCAGUCCACAGGCCGACCUAAAAUUGACAGACCUUGGGACCGGCUCAAAUGACAACUAGCUGACGCCAGCGUGGUGUCGAGGGCAAGGAGCCACGGAGGCAAGGCAAAGACCAACUUCCCCACCCCCACUAAGCUCCAUCUCGACGCCGUCAACAUCGCCAACAUGAACAAUGCCGCCAAAUUAGCUGCGACGACGAACAUCAGCAACAGCCACAGCAGCACCGUGGAGUCCUCCUCCUUGCCGUCUCCGCGCCCGCUCGACCUCACUCUCAAAACCCCCCUCUUGUCCACCGACAGCGGCUACUUCACUGCUGCGAGCGGCUUCCGCCUGCUUCCCGCUUCCCGGGAAUUAUCCUUCCGCGAAAGAUCCCCCCGCGAAACUUGUAGGUUCGACCACCCCCCCUCCCCCACGAAACAUCCCCAUAUUUUCCUUCCGGACCAAGUUUGUUCCUCUUUUAUGUAAGAAACAAAAUCCCUGCCCAGCUUUAUAAUAAUUAAUUUAUAAUAAAAAAUAAAUAUUUUUAUUAUUUUAUAAUAAAAAUAAUAUUUUAAUAAAAUUGACUAGGCUAUUUUUUGUUAGGGAUAGAGAUGCAUUGGCCUAUUACUAUUCAUUAGAGUCUAUCGGGAAUGGAUAAAUGGGUUGGGUGCUGGCAUAAAGUCCUUAGAGGUGGACUUGCUCUAAUAGGUCUCCUCAUCCACAACAAUAUCCCAGCUUUCCCUUGUCGUGGUUUUCCCAUAUUUGUGCACCUUACUGCAAAGAGAGAGCAAGUUAACUUGUCAAAGAAAAACCAGAACAAUAGAUGCCAAUGCAGUUCAGAAAGCUUAUUUCCCUUCAUACCCAUUUCCAAAGUGCUCCUCCCCACGUCCUUGACCAACCUAGACAUGAGACAACAAAAACAAAGUUACAUCAGAUUAAAUUAUUGAAAGAAAAAGGUUCACUUCUGUUGUAACAAAUUGACAUUAGAAUCAAGCAACCACGCUAUGAAAUACAAAGUUAAAAUGUAACAAUUUACUGUGUCUUAAAGGAAUCUGUGAAAUAAAAUAGUUAAACCCUAAACAACACCACUGCAAAUUAGGGGUGGGCGCGGUUCAGUUUUGAUUGAAACCAAAACCAAAACCGCAAGUUUUUGCGGUUUGGUUCGGUGCGGUUUUGAAGCCAAAACCAAAAUGAAACCAAACCGUUUGGUUCGGUUCGGUGCAAUUUCAAACGGUUUCAGUUUGGUUUUUAAGAAAAAAUGUACGAUUUGCAAUUUAACAUAUUAAAAAGCAUUUCCCAAUAGUAAUAGGAAAAUGACAUUUGUUAUGUAAACAAUUAGCAUGUUGCAUGUAGUUGUGAUGUUAAAACAUGUUUGUGCAACAAAAAGGUGUCCCUUACAAUAUUUUUCAUAAAACAAGUUGAAUAAAUUUGAAUUCAUUAAACGUGAGCGAAAUUUUCAUACUAGAAUAUGUGAUAUCAUGCUUCAAAUGAGUGGCCUUUAGUAGAUCAUUGUUCGACUCUUGAUAACAAGAUUAGUCCACCCUUGUACAUAUAUGUGUGUGUGAUGGUAUAAAAUAACAAAGGUCAUUCAAGUUAAUGAACAAAAGAGAGUGAUGAAUGAUGAUAUUCUAGUGUGGUUGAGUCCAUACUAAGUGUAUGGAUUUUAACAAACGACCAAUUAAAACAUGAAAUCUAAUAUGGACAUUUAAUUAAAUGUUUAUUAAUAUUUGCGGUGCGGUUUUCAAAAGCCAAAACCGAAACCAAACCGUUUUCUAUGUUGCGGUUCGGUUACAAAACCGAAACCGUUUCAAAACCGCAAAACCAAACCGUUCGGUGCGGUUCGAUUUGGUUCGUGUUUCGAUUUCGGUUUUCGGUUCUAAGUGCCCACCCCUACUGCAAAUAGCAUAAGAAAAUUAAAAUUAACCCUAAAGAAAUUGGGAGAGAAGAAUAUGAAAAGGGAAUACCUUUCGGCCCUUUGAGUUAUUGGAAAAAACCCAACAGAGCAAAAGAUAAGCAAAAAUACAGGAGGAAAGAAAAUAAAUUUUCAACUUGUAAGAUUCAUACGCGAACAUAUUGGCGGUCAAAAGCAUUUCGGAACUCAGAGCCAUCAAGCUUUUUGAUCUGCAUGGAAAUUAUUUAUGAAGUUUGAGAUUCUUAUAGACGCUUUAGACACAUCGACAUAUUGAAAAAGCAAUAUUCAACAACCUAGUACCCAUGCUCCAUGAAAGGUUACAGAAAAUAUGAAUGACUGGACUCUGGAGUGAGAAAGUAAAAGGACUUACCGCAUACUUCAUAUCUUCUAAGUUUGUGUAGUCUACAAUCCCUGUUGUGCCUACAAAAAAGGCAUAGGACAAAAGCUAAAUCAAUCGAAAUUCUGAUGUCUCAUGAUCUAGGUCGUAGGAUUAAACUACUGAAAUAACACUAUAUGAAAUAGCAGUGUAUAUCCCAAAAAAAGUCUGAAAUCUGGUUGAUAAUUGAAGAGUUCGAAGGGAUUUACCUUUGGAUUCUUUGGCUUUCAGAUGGAGUUUGCUUAUGUGUGGGGGAGAGAGGUGGAGCGGCUAGAGCUUGAGUAUGGAAGAGAUGAAAAAUGCAGAGAGCACCUGUUUUGGCUGAAGCAACUCACACACUCUGGACAAAUCUGCAAAUGUCUAAAAGGGGGAAAAUAUAAAAAGAAACCUUAACAACUGAAUUCAAAGAAACAUUAUUACAUUGUAAAUAACAUUUCACAAAAAAAAAAAAAAACUAAACUAAACUAAUUACACUCGGAUUGCAAUGCUAUCAUUUAAUAAUAGGAAUUCCCAUAACUUAGCAGAAGACCUGCAUCUGCAAAGGAUUCUUUAAAACCUAUUUUUUUUAACAACCCCGCACCUGCAACACAUCCAGGCAAGGUAAACCAAUAGCACCCUCAUGCUGAGCUCUUCUGUGCAUAUAUACCCCUUAUAAGUAAUCUUAAUCAAUCAGUUAUCAUGAAUAUAGUCAGUUAUCAUGAAUAUACAACUUAUAUUAAUUUUCUACAAUAUCCAACACACAAAUAUAACAGAAGAGGAAACUUUUACUUAAGCAGCACAAAAUGAUAUCCUCUGCAUUUCAUUCCAAAAUCCAUCACUCUUAUGUCUUUGCCUGCACAGUUUUUGCUCCAACAUAGCACACCAUGAUGAUAGCACUAUCAAUAAUUAAGACAUAAAGAAAGGCUAUCCUAGCUAGGUAUUAUCAUUGGAGUAAACCAACAACACCAUAAGUAAAGUAGCAGACCAAAUUUUUUCUAGAAUUGAUGUCUUAACAUGUUUAAGUAGCGAAAAGAUUACAACACAUUGGAUGUGUUAACACAUCCAUAAGCUAAUGACUCCCUCUCCAGUUUACCGCAUCAUUCUUAAUGUAUUCAACAAUGCAGCAGUAAUUAAAAGUCCUUGGAAAAUGCCAAGCUACUACAAUGACAUAACGAAAACUAUAUCUCACCAUACCCCCUUGUUGGCAUAGACAGCAUAUCCGUCCUUGUUCAGGGUGAAUCAUUAUCCUGAACUCAAUUAUCAUCAUCGUCGAGAAUGUCAAACUUUAAAUCAACCAUGCAUGGAACAAAACCUAGAAAUUAAACAAUUAUCAAAGCUUAUGAAGAAUGCUAAACCCAACUAAUUCGAAACAUAAAGUAACCCAAAAGAGAGAAAACUUAUAAAUUUUACAUAAAUUAUAAUCCUUAACAGAAGGAUGGAACAAAGCAUGUUCAUUCUUGAGAAUAGGUGUAAUUUUGCACAUUGCAUAUAUGUACAUUAAGGACGGUGGUAACAUACCUUGUAAUUUGUACAAAUUAGGAUUUUCAUUCAAAGAACCAUAAUAUACACAAUUACAAAAACAGUGAUACAAACUUGUUCUUCUCUUAAGGAAAUUACUCACAGUUGAAAUUCUGAAUGGACAAAGUUUUGGCAUCCCUUUCCGACUAUAUUUGAUUAACCUUUUUUUAAUCCAAUGAGUGCCUUCAUGAGAGAGAGAGAGAGAGAGAGAGAGAGAGAGAGAGAGAGAGAGGAAUAUUCGGUGAAAAGUAUUGCCAAAUCACACAGAGAUCAAAAUCUUGAAUAUAUAUGUUUAACCAUAUCAAAGUGAGUGUGUGAAAGGGUGUAGUCUGCAGAAAGGGCAACAUUUUCACUGCUAGAAAGUUGGAAACUAAACUUUUACACAGAUAUUGGAUUUUAUUAAUUCCCUCCGCGAAUUGAAAAGCAAAUUGUUCGAGUAAUGCAGGUAAAUUCGAUAUACAUAUGCGUUGAUCUAUGUAAGACGGUUAUAAGUUAUAACUGUAUCGUCUUAACACAAAAAAUGAUCAUAAAUGUAAGUGUCUGUAUUAUGGAAGUAAGGGACUUGCAGCAAUUGCUAUGAGCUCUAACAGCAGUCACUCCAAGUACCCUAUUAUGGAAGUAAGGGACUUAGUAAGGGACUUACAUCAAUUGCUAUGAGCUCUACCAGCAGUCUCUCAAAGUGGUGCAAGGGCUAAAAUUAUAAAUAAAAAGUAAUUUAAACAAUUUAACUUAAUAAAAUAUUGUAAUUUAAACAAUGCCUAUAUAUUCAAACAUCCCAAAACAGGAAUGAACUUCCAGAAAACAUGCGCAUGAAAAUAAACGGCAUUACUCACCCAUUGAGUUGGACCAUCAAACUAGAGCGUAAGAAGGAUCAUCAUGUACCUAUGAAACCCAAAGGAAAAUUUUAGCAACCCCAAAGCUUGUAUGCAAGCGUGAAUAAGUAUGCAUGUAUGAAUCUAUUCAUAGUGAAGAAGGCUACCUUAAGAAAUAUUUGCAUCUGCAGCUUCAUAUGGCCAUACAACAAAAAGCACCGCAUAUGAUAACAAACCCCAGCUGCACCACAAAAGGAAUAUGAUCUUCCUCUCAACUUGUAUUUGUAGUUGUUACUGUAACAUCUGCAGACAGCAUACAUAAGCACUGAUUCGAUAAUUCUAAAGGGAAAAAAGUCCUUAUUCGAUAAUGCACCAAAUCCUAUCCAAAAACCAAGUGGGUGCCAUAUCCCUAGAUUAACAGAGCAUCUUUCUUUGUUCCAAAACAAAUUGCAAUUGGCUUUGGUAAAGUAGAAAGAUUACCAGAUACCGACUCUGUUCCAUUAUUCGACUGUCCUUUUAGUUCUGUCUCUCAACAUGGGAAAUACAAUAAGACAGUAAAAACAAAAGUUAGUGAUGCUAUUACAUAGUGAAAGAAAAUAAGACAUUCACAUAUUGAUAGCUAUUUACUGUCCUUUCUCAUCAUAAUCUUGGCCCCUAUAUAUACAUAUAUUGAAUUUUGAAAGCAAUGAGAGAAAUAUACCUUUGGGGCGUCACCGCCAGAAGGGUGAGUGAGGGAUCUAAGAUGUUUAAGAGCAGGAAUUUUUAAGUAAUUUGUGUGAAAAAGUUGAAGAGCUUCGAACAUAGUGGAGUGGGUUGGCCUGGGCUAAAAUAAAGAGGAUGAACUCUAGAAAGUAGAAAAUGUUGUUGUUCAACCAAACUCAAAAGUAAAGAAACCAUAUGAUUAACAUAUAAAUAAGUUUUAUAUACCAAUGUUUACAUGUACGUUGUUUGAGAAGGUAAAUUAGCAACAUAUACAGUGAUCAAAAGAUUAACAGCAAUAAACUGCUCAUUAUUCGAAAUAUACAAGAAAGUUGUCAUUCACAUGAUCCAAAUGGCAGAGGACAAAACAGAAGGAAGCAAAUAUUAUAGCAGCAUAAGUUGAAUAAUUGCAGCAAGUAAACAAAUAGAAAGGCUAGCUAGAUUACACAAUCCAGUUCUAGGUCGGACUAACCAUGUUAGCCAUCCGCCCACCACCAGCACCGUCGGCUUCUUAUUAAAAAUGUAGAAUAGAAGACUAAAAAAUUGGAAAUGAAAGCAGGUAACAUUGAGUUUUAAUAACCAAAAAGGGACACUGUUUAAGCAGCUCCACAACAGCAAUAAUACUUGGAUGAUGACCUGCAAAAACAGAAAAGAAAACACAAAUUAAACUAAAAAAAUAUAAAAUUUAACACUAAUCCAAGGAUUAAAUAUCAAAUAUAAAUUCAUUAGGAUUGGGACCUUUGCAUUGAGGAAUAUCUACUACAUUAUGAGUUCCCUCUUGAUAAAGCCCAAUCAGGGGGUUUUUCGAUGAGCCAAGAACGGCUAACUUUGCGUGACACCGCCAUCCCCACUAACACCAAACCCAGAUAAUAUCAAGAUCAAAACUAACCAAUACCAGAAAGAUUUUUUUAUUUAAAUUUUAAGAAAAGACCUAAACUUUACGAAAUUAAGGGGGAAAACAAAGUUAAGUAAAGCACCAAUUUGCAACUGUCAAAAGUGAAAUAUGAGACUCCAACUGUCUAGAAGAACUCCGUGGCCUCAUCGACGAUGACCGGAUGGUGGAGAUUGAACUGGUGCGUACACCCGAAACACCUGAUUAUACACCGAACAGAGAACAAAAUUUAAAUCAAGUCGAACAAUAAUUAUGAGAAAAUAAACUAAAAGGGAUUUGAGCUGAGAGUUACGAUUCGAAGUGCGGGCAAUGGAGGGUGCAGGUUAGCGGCGGCAGAGAAGGGGUUGAGCUUGGGUUCAGGUCCGUUUUAGGAGGUGGAGGCUCUUGAUAGAAGAUUGGCAUUGGAGUCGUUUUACAAAUCAGUUUCUUCCUGAACAUCCUAAUGUCAGCUUCUAGAGUUUCCUGUAAAAGAACAGACAACAUUCAUAAUAAGAAAAUCUCUCUAUGCAAUCGCAGAAAUCCCUCGGGUUUCAGGAAGCAAAUGGAAAAUGAAAUGCUUUUCUCCCGUAUCUCUCUCUCUCACCUCUGUCCCAUCUCUCUGUCUCCAAAUCGCAGAAAAGAAACCCUAAACAAAUCCCUGAAAUCCCUCGCCUAAAUCCUCCUACAUUUCUCUCGGACAACCCCCUCUUUCUCUUUGCAAACCCUAAACCAAAUCUCCUAAAUCCUAUCUCAGGCACCACACAUACAGCCAAGAAGCCAAGAUAUUAAAGCAAUCUCUAUAUAAUACUUUGGAACAAUGAAGAAAAAUGGUACUUACUUGUUCCUUGUCCAAAACAGUUGGUGCCGCCGCACAUUGUUAUCAAUUGUGGGUUGAUCAAAUCCUUCAUGGCUUAGACUGCAUGAAGAAUUAGAAACUAAAAGAUGAAUAUAUGCCGUAAAUCAUCAUAUAAAUGUAACUGCAUUUAAAAAAAGAAGGGAAUGACAAAAUUGAAUUCUAUUUCAUCAGUAUGUAACUGCAUGAAAAGUUACUUUGAAUGAAGACUCGAUCAAUUUCCCCAAAGUCAUUGUUAACUGAAAAUCAAUAUCAAACCCAUAAAUACCACAUUGAAUUUGACCAAGUUAAAGGAUAAAGGCAGUCGCAUCAUCGUAUUACUCUUUGGGAAGAUCUUCUAAUAAUGGUUCUUCCUUUUUCUUGCUCUUCCUCAGAACUGCCAUAAAAACCCCAGAGAAGCAUACAAAUUCAGAAAAGAAAAGGUUCAAAACUGCCAUAAAAAAAAUCCAGAAAGCAUACAAAUUUAUCAGAAAGAAAAGUUCAAAUUACAAAUACCAAAUGAUGUGAGUGAGUAGUGAGAGGUUGUGUUAGGCACCUGAAACACAUUUUGGUUUCAAUUGAAAGGGCCAGAGACAACAUCCACAUUCUUUUUUCUUGGGUGAACUAACCAAAUCAUAUUAUAUACUAAAAUGACAUAAAAAAUCAUUCACAAACUCACAACAAAAUAGAACAAAAAGAUUCACAAAAGAUUUGGGAGUUGAGACGCUAACAAAAACAUUUCUUUUCUAAACAAAUACACAACCGCUAAUCUGGGUUUGGUCAAUUUAACUAAAACGGUGCGCUAUUUUGCAUCUAAAUAUAGUAUAUCGCUUAAAUAAAAUUAAUAAAAAAUACACAUCCAAAGCUUUUAGUCCAAAGCUAGAAUUAGGAAUAACUGAGGAAGUUAAUGAAGGCAAAGCAGAGGGUAGGAUGCAGAACAUACCAAGAGACCAGUAGGCCAUCGGGGCCGGUCUGCCGAUGAACGCUGUGUACUGGUCGACAACGCCCAACGGAGUCGGCGCAGAAAAAAAGUAAAAGUCGAAACCACCCCCAAUGACUUUGUAGGUGAGAGAAGUCCCUAUGUAGAACACAUUCAUGCCAUUGCUGUUGAGCAGCAGAACGCAGUGCGCGUAAGCCUCGUUGCCCACAUUCCGGAGAUCCAUGUAAACUGGGUGGGACCCGUACAAAUCAGUGUUGAGAUUGAUCGCCGAGAAGUCAGUGGUGAAGAUGAUGUAUGGAUCGUUCGGGUAGAGCUUGAUCCCGUGCGGCUGAGAGUUCUCUUCGAGGCCGUACAAGGAGGAGUCUUUCGGCACUCGGGUGGAUAUCUUGAUGUCUGGUCCUUAAACACCAGUACUAGUCCAAUAAACCACUCCGCUUUUAUUGAUUUUCAAUUCAUGUUCAUUCGGGUCCCAAACAAGACUGAACGGCCCCGGAGCCGGGUUGUAGGUAUCUACAUAUGAUAUAAGUGCCCAGACGUGGCCAGCACUGCGGUUGACACCUAACUUCAUACCCGGUAAAAAUGUGUCUCCAGGAUAAUCACUUCAGCAGAUCGAGGGUGAUUUGAGGUGUUUUCCCGCUGAAUUGGACUUCGACCCAGGUAUGAAAGUUGUUCCUCUUAUCGAGAUCUUCAUUCAUGUAAAAUUUGGGAAUUUUAGAAUUGUUGAAUUCUUCGGCGAGUCAGGGCUACCAGCCGCCACGUGCUUCGGCGCGUGGCCCUUUGGCCGCCGUCCCAUGGCGGCUCGUGCGGUGAUGUAUGCAGGAAAACCUAAGGUUCCUCCUUAGGUUUUUCGAUGUACCAAACCCGAAUCCGCCGUCCUUUUUCCAAAAUUCUAACGUUUUCAUAGAGUUUUAUUAAACGACCUUUAAUUGUGUUUAGGUGCAUCGGUGGAAGUGACCUCAUUCUUGAUGGUUCGAGCGGCUUUCGGGCAAUGGAAAACUUGUGAGUAGACCCCUUCUAAACUUAUAUAUUGUUAUAAAAUAUUAGCCUAGCAUGCAUUCCAUAUUUCAUGAUUUGAAUAUGAUUUAUAAUAUGCUUUAUGGACUUUUAAUUAUGGUUUACGAAAUAGUUUGAUUUAUCGAAAUUACGUUUUAUUAGGUAUUGAAUUAUUGGAUUUGCAUAUAUGGAUUUCUAUGGUUUUCAAAUACGAUUUAUAUUACGGUUUUACGAACAUGAAUUAUUUUAUGGAUUUCAUGAAUACAAUUUAUCUUGGAUUUAUGAGAUGAGACUUUGAGCUAGUGAGCUCCGGGUUUGAUAUGAGUUUUGAGAUAUGUUUUUGGUACUUAUCUAGUGGGUUAUCAUACAGCACAUCCGCACACCACGGGUAUAGAUGUGUAUGGCCAUAGGACACAGAUGAUGAGGAGGAGUAAGAUAUGAUAUAUUAUAUACCCCCAGUUCACUAUCGAAAGCAGUGUCAGAUAACCUCACUAGCCAUGGCUAGUGUCGGUAUGGAUGUUAUGCUAUUUCAUACAGCUUCACCUUCGGGUGAUAGACAGGUUAUUUAGCUUCACCGUCGGGGUGAUGGACAUGUACUACCUUCGGCCAACUAUGAUAGCCUUAGUUGAGCACUUCACUGACAAGAUUUACAAAUUUGCCUUCGGGCAACGACAUUUUCAUUAUCAAGCACUGGAUUUUACAUAUCUACCUUCUAAAUGGAUUUUCAUGGCAUGCUAGGGUUUUUCAUAAAGCCUAUAUGUAGUAUUAUAUAUGUUUUCAAAAUAAGGGGUUAUUAUGUUCAUAAAUAAAAUGUUUUCCUAUUAUUAGUAUUAUUAAUAUAAACUUUGGUCCACUCACCUUUUCAGUUUUUGCGCCUCCUCAGGAGUUAGGAUCGAGGCACAUGAUCCCGGCAUCAUGGCAUGUUGAUAUAGGUAUCCUUGAAUCUUCUCAGUGUAGGUAUCAUUCCCUUAUUCAUAUCUUUUUAUAGUGAUUCUUCCCUAUUAUUUCUAAUUAGUUGUAUGCUCUAAACACAUUCCUGCUUUGGUAAUCGUUAUAACUACUUAUCUUGUAAUUGUUUGCAUGUUUAAAAUGGUUUUGUCACCCUUGGGCGUGGGCUAGCACGUGCCUACCCUGGUAUGUUGGGAUAUCGGGGUUGGGGCGUGUCAAAGAUAGAGAGUGAAUUUCUAGCAGAUUCAAUGGUUGUCUACAUUUUAAAAAGAGCUUGCCGAAAAGAUUGAUUCAGAUGAAAUAACAAAGGAUUUCAAUUCCAUUAAGGAUUGAAGGGCACAACUUGAAUAGGUAUUUUUCUUUUUAUUUGUUAGGUUGUUAUGACAAGAUUGACGAUGUAUGUUUCUUUAUAUUGUAAGUUGCAACUUUAAAGGUUUUCUUUGUUAAAUCUAGUUGAAACUUGAUUCAUUUAGAGUUAAAUUUCUUACUUCAAAUUGUUGCUUUUAGGCUUAUUAUUGUGUAACUUUAUGCAAGCAACAAAAAAUUUUAACCAUUUGAUUUUGUACUAAUAAUUUUAGCUUAGCAUGCCACCAAAUAAUUCAUGGCUCCGCUAUUGAAAUCUUAGCAUGUGCAAUUUCAAAGUCUCGGUUGCCAAGUCUCCCCAGGCUGUUCAGCACCCAUUCUGAAUCUUGAUCGAGAUCUAGAGCAGUGCAAGUCAAGGAGUCUUCAUUCUCAUUUGAAACAAUGCUAAAAUUAUACCUCAGCUUGGACUCCUUGGGCAAAAUAUACCCAAAUGUAUUAGUACUACUUGUGGAUACACCACUAGUCCAAAAAAAUCACCUCUCCUUUCUUAAUCUUCAAUUGGUGAGGGUCCCAAUCAAGCGUGAAAGGCCCCGGCGCACGGUUGGCUUUAGUUUCCCAUGAUGAAAUCCACGAAACAUGGCCGUUUGUACGGUUGACACCCAAUUUCAUGCCCGGUAAAAAGGUGUCAACUGGUAAUCAAAGCUUUACGUUCACUUCUUCUUGUACAAAAUUUCCCGAAUCCAAAAGGAUAGCCACAACAGUAGCAAUACUGUUACUUAUGUUGGUAGACCUAGUAGUUUGUGGAGCUGAGAAAAACGCAAUUGGAUUAGGAUCCCCCCCGCAUAAUUUUCAAGGUUUUAUUCCUGUCCAAGGCAAGAGUGCGUACAAAAUAGGGGCUUUACGGUUGCAAAUCCAAGCAAUGUUGCCAUCGGCCUUGUUGCUCUGGAUAGAUACGUAGCUGGUGCUUUUGGAACUGUCGUCGUGUACACAGGAACUGAAACUGAACUUCUCCGAUGCAGAGACCAAAGAAUUUGAGGAGUUGAGAGUGUCUCCUGCUGGUUUCAGUGUGUCCCUUGCAGGUCCACAGUCAGCAUGCAAAAAUGAUUAAGUUGAUUAUUGCCAUGAUUAAUUAAUGACCAUAACAUGAAGUUUAAUUUCUCCAUAUGAUGAGGAAGAAAGACAUGAAAUCCAUCACCAGAACAUGAUUAAGAAUUUAAUCAAGCAACGCGUCUCAGUUAAACCAUUACAAUCUUUGUACAAGGCAUUUAUAAAUUAAAAAAAAAGGGAAUAAAGUAAUAAUUACAAGUUUUACACAAGUGACCAUUUAUUACAAUGGUGGAAAGGUGUUAAGCUUUUGCAUGACGGUGUGAGUUCGAACCUCGUCGGUAGUUAAUCUACGAACCCCGUCGGUAGUUAAUUUAACUUCUAAUCUAAUAAAAUCUAUUUUUUGACCAAAAAAAAAAUAAUUACAAGUUUUACUAAAAAUUUAGGGGUGUGAUAUCCACACACCCCUUUUUACUUCUCUUACACCUUUUUUAUUUUCGACCGUCGGAUAUGAUGAAUUGAAGAAAAUCAACGGACAAAAAUUAACAAGGAAUGUGUGAGAAGUAAAAAGGGGUGUGUGGAUAGCACACCCCAAAAUUUAUCGGAAGACUUGAUCACCCAUUUGUAUGCUGACAACGGUGACUAGAUUCACAACCUCUUUCCCACGUAAAUCACAUCAUCCAAUUUUAUUUUUCUUACAACAUAUCACGUAUCUGUCAUAUGCAAGACUUUUUUUUUUUGUUUAACAUGAAAACGAAGACUUUUUUGGAAUAUGGAGAGUGAAAUUGCAGCGGAAGCAUCCUAGAUUUUUGAUCGAAUAUUGAGUUUGGUUUCAUGCCAGACUUCCUGGAUCAAACACACCCUAAAAAAAUAUAUAAAAAACCAAUAAGGUCAUGUGAUACGACAUCAUUUCAAGAGGAAAGGUACAAACAAUCUAGUUUCUAUACUAGGAAGAUUCACUCGAACAAAUUCUUGGAAACUAUGACUCAAACAAAAUUCUAGGAAUUCAGUAUUUUUAACAAAUGAUAAGCGUUUAAGAUAUAUUCUUUAUAAUAUUAGAGAAAUCGAACGGUUGAUCUAUAACUCGCAAAGUGGUUGUAGCUCAAGUAAUUUUACUCCCCAAUUUUACAUAAAACAUAAAAUAAAAACAAAUCCUAAUUUACAUGGUAAUUUUUUUUCAUAGCUAGGGACAACUUCGACUAUGGUAAUGCAAUUAAUAUACACUAGUUUUGGAUGGAGAAGUUUCAAGAUUGAGUAUGGGAUGGGGAGGGGCGAGAGACUUGGAUGGAGAGGUGAGGUUUUAUGAGUUAAACAGUGAUGCAAGGAUGUAUUACUUAAAACUUUAGAGACCGUAUGUUGGGCUAUAUAUAAUAUACGUUACAUGGAUAAUUGUUUAACUCAUAAACGUUUUGAGUGUUUCUAACAUAUGCUUAUCAAAAGCCUUCUCGUUCCAUCAAACAAUACGAAAAUUUUCAAUUGAAUGAAAGACAUACUAUUUUAUAUAUCACAGUACUUCAUGGAUCAUCAUCAUCACAUAUCCUUAAUUCAAAGGUAAUAAAUGAGCAUCUAGUUUUAUUUUAAUUUUAUUUUAUAUAGGGACUACAGAAGCAAGCACCCUCUGUAAAUUAAACUCUAAAACUUCUCAAGUAUCUUGAAAGGUGCCAAAAGCCAUCAGCCAACUCCAGUUGAUGCAUAACCUCCUACAUUUACAAAAACAGCGUCGCCGUUAAUUUAUUGACUUCUUCCCAGGACACAUACCAAUUUGCGAAAGUGGUUUGACUGAUGCUAUAAUUAGUCGAGUAAAGUACAGUCUUUUCAAUUAAGCAGAUGCAAAACACUUAGUUGAUGCACUACAAAUAUGAUUUUUACCUUUAAUUAACGCGCUUCAAAAUCAGAACUGGACUUGUAGUUUGCUGAAGCAACAGUUUCAAGUUGCUGAUUCCCACUUAUACCAGCCUCCACCGUCCUCCUUCCAACAAAAAAUGCUGGCUUUGUUGGUGAUGCUAAUGGAAAGCUUUCAUUUGUCAACAUAGAUAUGACAUCUGACAUGGUAGGGCGAUCUGCUGCAUUUUCUUCUACGCAAAGCAGACCGACAUGGAUGCAUCUUAACAGUUGCUCUUUAAUAAACGAAUUUCCUAAUGUUGGAUCCGUUAAUUCUAGCCCUGCACCUUUUUUCCAUAACUCCCAUGCCUGAAGAACAAGGAUUGCAUUUCAUUCUAAAGAAGAAAAAUAUGAUUAUAAAUUUUAAGAGAGAGAUUUGUUUGUCAUACAUAUCCUACUAAAUUGAGUGCGCGAUCGUCAUUGUAAAAGCUGUUGUUUUUCCUUCCACUUAUGAUUUCAAGCAUCAAUACCCCGAAACUGUAGACAUCAGACUUUACAGAAAUAAUUCCCCCCACGGACUCUGGAGGCAUGUAACCACUACACCAAAUGAAAAAGAAAAAUAGUCAGUAUACUUAUCUGGAAAAAUGCGUGUUUAGCAGUCAAAAGGGGAGGACCACGUCAAUAUGAUGCAGAAAUACUUACAGUGUCCCCGCAACCUUUCUAGUGUUUGCUUCCAAUUCAUUUUGGGUGAAAAUCCUUGCCAUACCAAAAUCUGAAAUUUUUGGGUUCAUGUUUUCAUCAAGUAGUAUGUUACUAGCUUUUACAUCUCUAUGAAUUACUUUCUUUCUUGAGUAUUUGUGCAGAUAAAGCAACCCUUGAGCAAUUCCUUCGAGAAUGCUAAAACGCUUCUUCCAAUCUAGUAGUAGACCUCUGAUUGGAUCUGUCCAAUAUGUUGAGUUAAGUAGGACUAAUAUUAAUUAAUAGUAGUACUCUAUGAACUUUGACAGUAAAAUAAAAAUCAGAUAGUAAAUUUAACAAAUGAAAUCAAGUAUCUUGGUUCCUCACCAAAUAAAAAGUGGUCCAAACUUUUGUUCUGCAGAUACUCAUAUAUCAACAUCAUUUCUUCACCAUGAAUGCAAAAUCCGAAAAGGUGAACCAGGUUUGUAUGUUGGAGUUCAUAUAUAAGUAUCAGUUCAUUCUUGAAUUCUGAUGUUCCUUGCCCUGAACAUUUCGAAAGCCUCUUCACAGCUAUUUCUUGUCCCGUUGCCAAUUUCCCCUGAAUUGAUAAUCCAUAUCAUGCUUUUGCUGUCAUUUUUAGGCAAUUGAAGCUAAUUCCAUUUUUUUUUUCUUACAGCUUUUGAAUUAGAAGCAGAAAUUUUUGUUUUUUCAAAAUGUUACCUUAUAAACCGGUCCAAACCCUCCUUGUCCUAGCUUGUUUUCUUCAGCAAAGUUUCUUGUGGCAGCCACGAUGGAUGAAUAGCUAAAAACGCUAAAAUCAUGAUGUCGCUUAGAUUCAUGAAGAUAAGCAUUUCGUUCUCAAGCGUUGUCCGGUUCUCACCUAUACAGAUCAAUUAUAAGAAAUUAAAGUUUCAAUGGAGACAACAAUUGUCAAAGAUGUGAUUAAUAAUCCUGUAUUACUGGUGCACAUGAUUUAAAGAAAUAUACCAGCUGAUGCAAGGGCUGAUCUUCUUCGUCGGAGUAGAUAGUACGCGGUGCAAAGCACUAGAGCAGCAGCUAUAGAAAUGCCAAUCCAAACCCAUUUAUCUGCUGCAUCAUAAACAAUUAGCUAGCAACAUAUGCAAUCAGUGUAACACACACGGACAUGUACGCAUUAAUUGUCUUCAAUUUUUGGAUGAACUAGGUCUUGCAGGUUUCUUCCGGAAAACGGAAAAAUUCGAGACAGAGAGCAGAACUUAAGACAACAAUAACAAAGAUAGAGGUACCUAAUAAUACUGAUUCCACGCGUGUCACAGAUUUCCGGCUCAAAUCGGGUUUGCAGCCUCGGUAUAUAUCCUUCGGAUCAAGAAAAGAAAACCCUUUUGGGCAUUCGCAGGUUGGCCUUUUAUCUGGUUUGAGCAUACAGGUACUGUUGUAACCGCAAACACCAACGCCCAGUCGUAGGCAAAUAUCAUCCGGCAUAUACACCAGAGGACUAAUCCAACUUGCAUUUCCCGUGAAGUUUUUCUGGUGAGAAUAUAAAGCGAAAAUCCCAUCAAAAUCAAGAGUUGCCCUUAUGUAGUUGUCCCUCACCGACACUCCCUCUGUCCCCUUAAGAGGGACUCUUCCAUCAUUUUCUCUUAGAACAAACAUGUCCCCUGAGCUGCUGAACACCAAUCGUUUGCCUUGACUACCUGGCACGUUCCCUGACGUGGUCUUCGUGGAGAAGUAAGGGAUGUUGGCAUUAUCUGUUGUGACGGAAAUGAGCACGAGGUUUCCAUCACCUUGCAAGCUCAGCCGGAACCGCCCUUUUGUGUAGUUAGUCUCCGAUUGUCUACACGAAAGCGUCCCGUUUCUCUCAAUUGUCUGUCCAGGCAAAACGGUGUCUGUAGGAUUGCUGAAGGUCUCCCACAAGCUCCCCGAGUUUUGGUGUUGAAGGACGAAGUUUCCGGUGUCAUUCAUGACCCCGUUCGCAACAGUCCCCAAGGUUAUUUCGGAUUUCCAUAUCUCUCCACCCUGAGGAUUGUUAAGAACUAGUCCACUGUUGGCAGUCAAGUUCAGAACUGAUCCCCUAGGUGCAACCAUGGGGUUGUUACCGUCAUAUGCAUACCAAAACUACGGUUUUGUCUGGGAUUUUCGCAUACCAUAUCGAAAGCAAGAAACGAUCAUUGUUUCCGAGGGGCGAAAAUCCAAACGCGAAAUCACCGGAAGGAGAAAGCCAUGAUGAGGAGUCGCCUGUAGUUGCAGUUAGAGAACUCCCAACUGCUACUCUUCCAUUAUUUUGGGAAAUCACAGAAAUUGGUAGCAAAAACAAAGAGGAGAACAAAAGCAUCUCUACAGAAAGAGCCACUGCCAUUGCAAAAGCACCAAUUUUUCAACUUGGCUUGAUUGAUUAGCUAUAUUUCUUAGUAAAGCAUUGGUCCUUGUUAUAUCUUUAAGUAAAUGCGUGUGCACCAUGUGCCUGUCAUUUUCUAAGUUUUUGCCUGGAAUUAAAGGCGUCUACACCAUUUUUUGAAGUCACACACAACAAUAUCUCCGGGCCUACAGAAUAAAUUCUCCGAACCUACACAUAUCACAAGAAUUUCACUUUGAAAAAAAAAAUAUAAUGAAUAGUUCUAUAUAUAAUGACACCGAGACUUUUUGUGAUUGAAUUUAUUCUCUCUCAACUCCUUUGUAAUGUUGCAAGUUGGAGCAAUAUUGACGUAAUUAGCAAUGGUCCGCUGACUUGUCUCUCUCAAAUCUCUUAUCAUCCUACUCUCAUCCCUCGUCUGUUUUAUGAUUCUACUUACUUAAGCACUUAUAAAUGUUCCAAAUCAGCAAAGGACUUGUAACUUAAAUAAUUAAUAAUAUUUAUCACUACACUCGAGAUUCUAGGUUCCAAAAUAUAAUAUAUAAUAUAUAUGAAUGUUUCCGAACCAAAAGGACAAGUAAAUACGAGCAUGACUCACGCUGCAUGGGUCGGCCAUUCAAGUCCACCAGUCAAAAUUCAACAAUGGGGCCCACAAAGAAAAUUUGAAAAAGUACAUGCAGAUUGGGGACGGAUACAAAGAAAAUCUGAAAACAGACCUCCAGAACCAAACAAAGACGACUAAGCCUUUAAGUCAAGUGACAAGAGACUUAUAUCUUCACAAAAACAAAGACGACUAAGUCUCAAUUUCUGUAUUCACAAAAAAAAAAGUACUAACUGAAGUUUUUAAUGUAUGAUUACGUCGUUGGGGUAAAACACCCGAUGCCGAGUUGAGAUAAUCACAGGGUUGGGGAAUCAAGAACCUCUUCGAAUGUCACAAUCUAGCGCAAACGGAUGUAGAGACUCAAACCACUUAUUUUAAAUCAUACGGCCUUCAUUAGCCUAUCCUAUUGACCCACAUGGUCCAAAUCUGUCUCUCCCCUCUCUUGAACGGUUUGGAUAUCUCGAUUUGUCGAUUUUGGAUUGCGAGAUUCAAAGAGAAUCUGAUUUCAUGUUUGAGGUGAGGUUUGACGACCAUUUGAAGCCCGUUGAGGCGUGGCCCAUCUCAUCAGGUCGGGUCAGCCAUUUCGUACCAGGUUGGAUCCCAGGUCAGGCCAACCAUUUCAUUAGCCUAAGAUGGACCUGACAGACGAGGCGCUUGGAUAUUGCCUACCGCGACCAAAUGGACCCAUGGACUCAUUAGAUGAUGAGUCUGGACCCUGGUGUGUGUAAAGCCCACCUCAGCUCGAUCCAUAUUCGAUCGAUACUACAAAGAAGGUGGAUAUGAGGUAAAGGUAGAGUAAGCUCCAAGUCAUGUGGAGGUCAGUCGAGAUUGAACACACGUUCAUAGAAUCAUAGUAUCAAAUUCAAGUCCAAAUUUUAACACUACGAAACCGAAAAGCAUUGUUUCAGUCCAACAACCCAAACUUCCUUAAAAAAACUAAGACAAAAACGACGACACUAGGAAACGGAAAAACAUGCAACUCAGAAAACCAUUACUCUAGUCCAAAUGAGGUUCCUCAAUGCCUCAAGCUUUUAUAAAACACCAUAGCCUGAACCUUUUCCUUUGCGCCUUCUUUGCUUCACCAGAAACGUUCUUAAUGAGCUCCUCUUCAAAUUUGGGACGAGCAGGCAUUAGGCUGUGCACAAUGCUGUAAACGCCCCUAGCCCUUGCCACACCCUAGGUGCGUACGCGUGCAUGUCCGACCUGAGUUAUCUUAUUACGCGCGCAGUUUGAUCUUCCCGUAUUGACAUCCCUGCUGUCUAUUCUCCUGCGAAUCCUUCUGCUGGUGACUUCAUCCGAGUCCAUUUUCUUGCUCCUCAGUGCAUGUUCAUCUGCUUUUCCCUGUUAAUAAAUAUAGGAAUCCCAUAACAAACAGCAUUUGACAAAACAGAACGUAAUAAUAACAACAAAACUUGACUCCAUCCUCAGUGCAUGUUCAUCUGCUUUUCCACUUCAAAGCAGCUGACGGCACGAUUCGUACUUGGACUCCAAAAUGUCUAGAUUAUGGAGAAACCAGCCUUCUAUCCAAAACACACAAAGAAGUGUAUUUUCCGUUUAUACCAAUUAAGUGUGUUGAAGCAUGUCCCACAUGGCCACAUAGGAAACUUGUUGAGGUUUAAAUCCUCUUAUAUAGAAAGUUCGACUACUAAUUGCCUUGAGGCCUUAAUUCUGUAUAAAACCAUACCUAUUGAAUUGCACACGUGCUUAAGUUAAGGUCAGUAUUGAUGGUAAUUAGUAGUGGGCUGCUGGGCCGUCUUAAAAAAACUGGUACAAAGGGCAAUUUAUAGAAGCAGUGUUGAGAUAAGGGCAAUUCAUCUGUUCUUUUUAGAAGGAUAUAUAUGAAUGAAGCAAGGUUUAUCUGCUAAUGCGGCUCAGCCCUUUAUCAAAAAGUGAAAGAUCAAAAUUACUUUUACAGCAAGAGCAAUACCAGAAGAUGUAAUCUAAAUUAUUUAUAUUUGGUUCCCUUGAAAUCCUUUUGACUGCUUCAACAUACUAUAUGCAGACAGAACCAGAACCAAGUCCAGACUCACUCGUAAUAGGUCUCCUCAUCCACAACAAUAUCCCAGCUUUCCCUUGUCGUGGUUUUCCCAUAUUUGUGCACCUUACUGCAAAGAGAGAGCAAGUUAACUUGUCAAAGAAAAACCAGAACAAUAGAUGCCAAUGCAGUUCAAAAAGUUUAUUUCCCUUCAUACCCAUUUCCGAAGUGCUCUUCUCCCCAUGUCCUUGACCAACCUAGACAUGAGAGAACAAAAACAGAGUUACAUCAGAUUAAAUUAUUGAAAGAAAAAGGUUCACUUCUGUUGUAACAAAUCGACAUUAGAAUCAAGCAACCACGCUAUGAAAUACAAAUUUAAAAUGUAACAAUUUACUGUGUCUAAAAGGAAUCUUGAAAUAAAAUAGUUAAACCCUAAACAGCACCACUGCAAAUAGCAUAAGAAAAUUAAAAUUAACCCUAAAGAAAUUGGGAGAGAAGAAUAUGAAAAGGGAAUACCUUUCGGCCCCUUUGAGUUAUUGGAAAAAACCCAACAGAGCAAAAGAUAAACAAAAAUACAGGCGGAAAGAAAAUAAAUUUUCAACUUGUAAGAUUCAUACGCGAACAGAUUGGUGGUCAAAAGCAUUUCGGAAUUCAGAGCCAUCAAGCUUUUUGAUCUGCAUGGAAAUUAUUUAUGAAGUUUGAGAUUCUUAUAGACGCUUUAGACACAUCGACAUAUUGAGAAAGCAAUAUUCAACAACCUAGUACCCAUGCUCCAUAGAAGGUUGAGAAAAUAUGAAUGUCUGGACUCUGGAGUGAGAAAGUAAAAGGACUUACCGCAUACUUCAUAUCUUCUAACUUUGUGUAGUCUACAAUCCCUGUUGUGCCUACAAAAAAGGCAUAGGACAAAAGCUAAAUCAAUCGAAAUUCUGAUGUCAUGAUCUAGGUCUUAGGAUUAAACUAUUGAAAUAACACUAUAUGAAAUAGCAGUGUAUAUCCCAAAAAAAGUAUGAAAUCUGGUUGAUAAUUGCAGAGUUCGAAGGGAUUUACCUUUGGAUUCUUCGGCUUUCAGAUGGAGUUUGCUUAUGUAUGGGAGAGAGAGGUGGAGCGGCUAGGGUUUGAGUAUGGAAGAGAUGAAAAAUGGAGAGAACACCUGUUUUGGCUGCAGCAACUCACACACUCCGGACAAAUCUGCAAAUGUCUAAAGGGGGGAAAAUAUAAAAAGAAACCUUAACAACUGAAUUCAAAGAAACAUUAUUACAUUGUAAAUAGCAUUUCACAAAAAAAAUAAAAUAAAAUAAAAUAUACUAAACUAAACUAAUUACACUCGGAUUGCAAUGCUAUCAUUUAAUAAUAGGAAUUCCCAUAACUUAGCAGAAGAUCCUGCAUCUGCAAAGGAUCCUUUAAAACCUAUUUUUUUUAACAACCCCACACCUGCAACACAUCCAGUCAAGGUAAACCAAUAGCACCCUCAUGCAGAGCUCUUCUGUGCAUAUAUACCCCUUAUAAGUAAUCUUAAUCAAUCAGUUAUCAUGAAUAUACAACUUAUAUUAAUUUUCUACAAUAUCCAACACACAAAUAUAACAGAAGAGGAAACUUUUACUUAAGCAGCACAAAAUGAUAUCCUCUGCAUUUCAUUCCAAAAUCCAUCACUCUUAUGUCUUUGCCUGCACAGUUUUUGCUCCAACAUAGCCUGCAAUGAUGAUAUAGCACUAUCAAUAAUUAAGACAUAAAGAAAGGCUAUCCUAGCUAGGUAUUAUGAUUGGAGUAAACCAACAACACCAUAAGUAAAGUAGCAGACCAAAUUUUUUUUAGAAUUGAUGUCUUAACAUGUUUAAGUAGCAAAAAGAUUACAACACAUUGGAUGUGUUAACACGUCCAUAAGCUGAUGACUCCCUCUCCGGUUUACCACAUCAUUCUUAAUGUACUCAACAAUGCAGCAGCAAUUAAAAGUCCUUGGAAAAUGCCAAGCUACUACAAUGACAUAACGAAAACUAUAUCUCACCUUACACCCUUGUUGGCAUAGACAACAUAUCCGUCCUUGUUCGGGGUGAAUCAUAAUCCUGAAUUCAAUUAUCAUCAUCGUCGAGAAUGUCAAACUGUAAAUCAACCAUGCAUGGAACAAAACUUAGAAAUUAAACAAUUAUCAAAGCUUAUGAAGAAUGCUAAACCCAACUAAUUCGAAACAUAAAGUAACCCGAAAGAGAGAAAACUUAUAAAUUUUACAUAAAUUAUAAUCCUUAACAGAAGGAUGGAACAAAACAGGUUCAUUCUUAAGAAUAGAUGUAACUAGUAAUAGGCCUGCGCGCUGCUGCGGGACUUGAAUGCACCAGCCUUAACAACAUGAAUAAGACACAUUUAACAUGAAAAAAAUUCAACAUAAUCAUGAACGAACAAAAAGGAUAGCUGAGUGAACAGUGUUCGUAAGUAAAACAGCUUAGUUUUUAUAUACAUUCAACCAAGCUGAUUACAAAAGAUGUGAUUGUAAAAAAUGUUCUGCUUACCUGAGAAACAAAAGCAACAUGCAUUUUACACAUACAAGACAUCUGAUAUUAAACCUAAAAUCAUGUAAUUCUGUAUGAAGUGGAGAAUAAUGCAGAAAGAUGGUUUUCUAUAGUGCUGCCAAUGACAAUUAAUUUCUCAUGAAAAAAAAGAAAAGAGAAACACAGGUAUAAAAGAAUAUUAUUUUUUAUAGUUGCAAACAUUAUGAAUUCCAAAAAGAAAAACUACAGAUAACACUUCAAUCACAGAUCUAAGCAUCUAAAACGUGGCAACCCAGAUACCAUUCAAGACAUUGCUCAGCAUCAUGGAUAAACUAACCUAUCUGUGUCCCUGUGCUCACUGCAUGUCAUAUACACCCGACCAACUGGGCAUAGGAGCAUAAUGAGGAAAACUUUCAGCACCAUUUUGUACCUGAAAAAUGAGGGAGGAACUAAUUAAAGCGUUCCUCACUUAGAAUAAAUAAUGCAUGCAUAAUAGCCAAAUGGACAUUGCGCAUAUAAAUUGUUGUGGCAAUAACUUGCAAUAGAAAACGUAGUUAAAAAUAAGAUAUACGAAAUACCAACAUUGCAAUGGUAUUUUUUUUUUCCAUUCGAUUGUACUGAAGCAUGCAUCUUAAAUUAGGUACUACGUGAGGUCUCUAUAAUGAAAUGGGAGAUUGAAUACACUUGACGAAACUGAAAAUUCAAAUAUGCACACGCUCCAUAGUGUAUCUUCACAACCAAAAGAAACGUUUAUAUAUACGACAUAUGUUUGACAUUGUUUUUCCCCACUCAAAUCGUCUUGAGAAAAUUUGACUACUAAAAACUACAAAACUUUGAUUAAAGAAUCAAAUAGAAUAGCAUGAGAAAGUUAUUAUUACACCAUACCUGACUUUUUUGCAUAUAAAAACACCUGUAUUUCACCUGAUUUUGUAAUGAAAUACAGAUGCUUGUAGUUCACCAGUACAUAGCUGCCUGUCAUUUGUUGUCUUCUUCGGGUUCAAGAUCCUUAUAUUGUCUGAGACGUGAAAGAAUCAGAAAUUGUAUACAGUUUGAUAAUGAAACAUGUAAUGUGAUUAUGUGACAACAAUGCACUCCUCUCUCUCAGAGAGAUAAACAAAGAUAUCAAAAACAGAGAGGCAAUGUUAAGAUAAACAGAAAGGCAAUGUCACAUUGUUUUGCAUGAUCUUGAAAAUUGGGGAUAAGGUAUUCAAAGUGCUAACAAACACGUGCAAAUGGGGAUAAAAAAGGGGAUAAAUUGAAAAAUAUAUAUGCUCUUAAUCGAGAACUUCAUCAAAUAAACAAUAAAAUCUAAUGUAAUCUGUCCAAAACCAAAGAGAGUGAUAAUUUGGAGGCACUAUAAUGUCUUGGGCAUCGCAUACUUGCGGUAUAUGAUUGAUGCAUCUGUUGCUCAAUCAAAUCAUUUGCUUGGCUAAAAAAGUUAUUUUUACAAUAAAUAGAUUCGCAUCCAAUUUAUGAGAAAUCAUGCAAAAGUAAAUGUAAAUGAUAACGGAAUCAUGAAUGCGAAUAAGAAACACAUACAUGCCAAAAAGAAAACCUACUAUAGUGUGUCAAGUUACUUGCAACAUAAUUUUUUAUGCCAUUAUCCAUUUCGCAAUACUUUAAAAAAAUUUCGUUUGAAAAAGCUUUGCUAUGAUUUUUAGGUUUGGGAAAAAUAAUACCAUAAAAAUUAAAAAACAAUUACUAAAAAUCAUGGCCUGUUAAUAGCAAAAUACACUCCUCAACAAUGUAUAUGAACAUGUGAGUUGAAAAUUUGAAAUAUUCAACAACUAAAAGAAAGAAGCAAAAUCAGAAGAAAAGAAAGAGAUACUCACUCAAAAAUAAAGAUGUAAUAAUGCCAGGCUUCUUCUCCUCGGCAUCCAGAAUUCCAUUGUUGUCUCCAUCUUCAACCUUCAAUGUAUUUAAAAUAUGAAAUGGAAAAAACCCAGAAGAAAUCAUUACAUAAAAUAAAAUUAUCCAAGUAAAAUUAAAGGAUGGAUAGAAAAGAAAUGAAGGCAGUUUAUUCGGACUUAAUUAGAGACUUACUGAAUAAGCUUGAAAUCUAUCUCACACAUCUCUUAAACUUCAACCCCUAUCCUCCUUGCCUCUGUAAUAUGCACACAUAUAGAAAAAGAAAUCGACUUUAGAACCUACAUUGAUACAUAUCUUGUGUGAGUAGGUCUUUCCUGCUUUUCCCCAAUCAUGCAUAUCAAAGAAACGAAAAAGAAGGAAAUCACCCAUAUAUAUAAUACCUUAAGUUUAAAUGCAUCCCAAUUUUGGGUUCCAACGUCACAGAAAGAAUGUCUUAUACAUAAUUUAACAGUACCCCCGACAUCGGUCCAUCCAUUCGUAUUAAUAGUUAUUGUCUGCACAAACCUCAAUUACCUUACAAUCUAUCAUUAUUGACAUAAAGUUCAUACAAUAUGGGACAUCAUGACCUCUCUUUGGCCAGCACCAGUUUUUCCAAAAUGAAAUCAACUAUUACUGCAUUAAUUAUGGGUCCAUCUGGCCAAUUCAUUGAAUUCGCAGACCCAAAAAUUUCACCAAUUAACUGAAUUUACAUACAAAUGGGAGAAGUACAAAAACAAAGACAAUGGCAUAAAUUAUACCAUAAAAAUUACACUACGAAAAAUUUAGAGACCAAAAUCCUUGUUAACAGAAUUUAUUCACAUUAAAAGACACAAUUUCGGUUCAAAAAACUAUCAAAUUUAAACUUUGAUAUCAUAUGAUAAAAUCUUAAUUAAACUCACAAUCUCAAGAAGUUGAAACCAUGUUAAGUAAAAGAAACAAAUUGAAAAAAAUUAAGAUGUAAAUAUUGAUAAGAACAACAAAAGUGGCAAAUACAUUAUACACAGAUAGGACCCUGAAAUAUCGGAACCAGCAGCAACAAAUAGAAUUAAGAAGAAAAAGGAUUAGCAGACUUAAUAAAUGAGAAAUAGGAUAACAGGUACGAACUCAGUUUUUCCACUAUGAAUAAGAGAUCCAGUGGCAUAACCUAACAUUAGGUAGAAUCAAUGCUGGUUGAUUGAAUUUUCAUUCCCUGAAAAUUCAGAAAAUGAUGUGUUUUGAUCUGCAGAUAGAAGCAUUCUAUAUAUAUAAAAAAAAAAUAUAUGGAGACAUGAUGAGGUUCAGAAACCAAACCAUGUCGGUAAAAUCCUCUUGGCAGGUUGCUCAAGGUUGACCUCCUAGCCCUUGGACCAGUCAGGAGACUUGGCCUCCUGCUUUCAAGUUUGGAAGGGAAGUAAAAGGUUCAGCCAAUAAGUAAAAGAAUUGAUUCAGAGGAUAGAAUCAAAAUUUCAAAAAUAUUAUUUGAUGCGAUUAAAACUGUUCCCAAUGAUAAAAUGAAUAAAAAAAUCCAUUGGAAUAAAAGAAAAAGAAUGAUUAAAAUUAUUCACAACCCUUGCUGUUUUUACCUAACCAUUUGUAGGAUCCAUAAAGGGCCAAAAAAAGUUUUUUACUUCUCCUCUAGUCCCAUAAAUUUGGAUUCCAUCUCGUCCAAGCAAACUAACAAUCAUUACUAUACUUUGUUUUAGCAUGCGAACACAAAUCUCAAAAAAAAUAGAUAAUUCAUUUACAAAUUUAAAUUCAAUUUUUAUAUCUCGAUAUUUGUUUGUUAAACUCAAUGAUCAAACUUCAGACUCAUGCCUUCCAAAAAGAAAAGAAAACGAAGAAGAAUUGAAAGCACUUCCCAUUCCAAGGAAAGAGCAGCCAUAAUUAGGAUCCAAAACUCAUUCUUUAGUCUCCUCAUCUGAAGCUAUAUAUAAUCAUUGAACAAAAACGUUUAACGUCCAGCAGAAAGCAAACUGCAAUCAAAAUUUCAAAAAAGCAAAAUAAUGCGCAGAUAAUCGACAGCUGCAACAAACAAAAAAUAGAAAAAUCAAAUGCAGAUUGAAGGAAAAAUCGAGACCGCAAUCGAAACUCAUGCUUGUAUGGGUAAUUAAUUGUAGAUACCAAAUCAUCAAAAACCACUUGUCUACACCAAAUUGCAUACAAAAGAUAUUGGGGCAACUCAGAUUGUGCAAUGAAAAACAAAGUCAAACUACGACGUAGAUGUCUAUCGGAAUUUCAUUCAAAGAAUGAUUAAAUAAAGACAAUGGCAUGCCAAAGAUUAAAUACCCUAAGCGACAGUGUCAGCCAUGAGCUUCCCUCUGUGAGAGCACAGGGGUGUAACUGCAAAAGAAAGCCGGAGACUGAGGGCAAACUGUAAUUUCGUCAAAAAGGAGGAAGUGUACAAAAGAGAAGUGACAGCAAUAAGCGUAGACGCCAAGGACAAAGUAAAUAUGUAUUUGUGAAUGGGGUUAAGCUGCUGCUAGCUUUGUAUAGUGUAAUAAUGCAAUUGCAAAUAGACCAAGUUACUGCUACUAAAAGCUUUUGCAAAAUCAUAAAACUCUUAACAGUUUGAACCCUACCGAAAAGUUUAUAUGAGUUAAAGAACAGUCGUACUUAAGUGCAGCAAGAUCAUAAGCUCUUGCAGCUUCUCCUCCAUAUCAGAACCACCUGCAGUCCAAAUUAACCAAGAUUCAAGGCCAAAGCAAGAACAAAUUAGUGAUAAUUUAAACUAAAGUCCCUAAUUAUUGUUGCAGAGAGAAUUCAUAUCAAGAUUAACGACAUUAUUUGAUUCGAAUGGAAUCCAAACGCAGCAUAAACAUGAAAGGUAAAAAAUUAAUACCAAAAGUCACAUUUAAGCAGCAAUUAAUAGCAUAAAUCAGAUUUUAGUGGCAUGGACCAAAAUAAUUCAGUAAAAAAGAAACAAUCCCAAACAAAUAGAAAGAACUGGAGAAACAAUUCGAAACAAAUCUUCGGAAAGCAACCCCAUCCCUCCCUCACCCUCUCUCUCUCCAAUUCCAACUUCUCCCUACAUCUCUCUGUCUAUAAUAGAUGUGCAGUUUUAUUAAUCUUUGUUGCCGAAGCGUGCAAGAUAGUGAAAAGAUUGUUUAUCUAAGAAAAAAAAGGGCACAUUUUAGAUGGAGACAGAUGGCAUUUAACAAAUUCUUCAUUAGUGGAGUAAAUAAUUUGCAACCACCUAUUUCCUGGUAGCAUUAAAAAAAAAAUUCAAUUUUAAAAAAGAAAUGUACUUUUUAGUUCAAUUUCCACAGCCAUAGUAAUUUAUGUGGACUAAAAUUAAGAUUAACUAAUACAUCCAAUCAACUGCAACUAAACAACUUAUAGUAAUUGAAUCUGUGUUUGUGGAUGUGAGAGAGAGAGAGAGAGAGUUAUCUAUUAUAAAGCCAACCUUCUUUGAAUUGGUCCUCUUAUGGCUUAUUACCAAAACUCUCCAUUGCAUUUGCAGUAAUGCCCUCUGCUUCUCCUCCUGCGAAUUAUCAUUCUGUAAGUAAAAGGUACAAAAACAUCAAUUACUUAAUGGUAGAUAUGUACUUUAGACUUUUGAAGAUCCAAUUCAUCCUGCAUCUUCUCACACUCAUCUUCAUGCUGAAGCUGCAAACCUGUCAGCUCAGCUUCAAGUUCGCUCCUCAUUGAAGUUAUUUUCUAUGAAAAUGAUAAACUGGUUUGUAACGUAAGCAUAUAACACUCUAGUUAAAUUAGUAGUUCCAACUUAAUUCAAAGCUAAAAACGACAUUAAUGACCACAAUUUAAGAAUCCAGAAACAGCCCAAACUAACAACACACACAGAGGACAGACACUGAAAGACAUAUUUUUUUAGAGAACCUAACUAAAAAUUAAAAACAAACCAAGUAAAAUUUUCAGAGUUUAAAAACAGGAAACCAUUACAAUCUUUACAGAAACCAACUAAAAUUGGAAUCUGAAAAAAAAUCCGCUCAAUUUUAACAGCCCUGCUGCAUAUAUUGGGUUUUUUUAGGCAUGAGACAACACAAACGAAGAAAACAUAACAUAGUUGUAAACCUUAGGCUCCAAUCAGGUCAAGUGUGAGAUUUCAAACACGGAGAUUUACUCCAUGUUUAAAAACUGCCAAAUACAUUGCCAACUGUUAAGAGUAUGAACUACAAAUCUAUAAAGUAAAAAGACUUGCAGAUAAGUUUAAACAAUCAACAUUCAACUUAUGAUUGUUACUGUUUUUUAGCUGGAUGUUCACAUUCUAAUAAGGUAUUAAAAGAGAUUAUAAGCGUGUGUGCUCUUAAACCACCCAACACCAUGUAUUAAUCAAAUAAUUAACAUCUAAAGAUGGAGACAUGAAACACGAAACCUGCAAUUAGAUCCCAAUCACAAAAUGCCAAAAAAAUCCUAAUCUAACCAUCCCUAUACUAAUAGCCCAUUCGAGCAGCUAUUAGCACCUAACCCGCUACUUUGGCAACCCACCAACCCGCCACACCGUCAUGUCCCAUCCCCUCUCCACCACUCACUAUAUCUCUCACCUUUCUUUCUUGACAUUUCGCUCGGUGCACACAAACACCAAGCCAACCAUUGCCGGCCUUUGUCUAAAAGUGGACAAAAUCCCAUAGGUCCUGGCAGAGGACCUAGCUAAAUCUCUCUCCCACUCAGUCGAAACCCGUAGCUACCAUUUCUCUCCAAUCUGUCAGUCUCUCUGUCCCCCUCUUCUCCUCCCCCCAACAACCCUCUGACCGAUGCAUCACCCACAGCCACACCCACCCGCACCCGAGUCAAAAAUCCCAACGAUCCUCUCCCUCCAACCCGUCAACAAAUUAUGGAUUCCGAGAAUGUAUCUUGAAAACUCAGAUGCACAUGAUUAAAAUUAGUAGAUAUUAAGGACGUGUACUUAACAGAACAACACGAAGAACGAAUGAGUACAUUACAAACUAAAUGACCGUGUCAGCUAGAUACUUCUUAAAGAACACCUCUAAUCUACCAGUAUGAUUACUCAGUUUUUGGUUUUUAAAUUAAUACCCUAAACCUUACAUUCAAACUCAUUUCGAAUGCAAACAAAAGUAAAUGAUAAGUCCCGAGCUUUUCUUUCUAGCCUCAACUCAACUCAAGUUCCCAACCUUCACCUUCCAAUACAAAGAAACUAACGCAUCAAUCUGCAAUUUCGCAAACAUAUAAUUCAACUAACCAAGUUCUGUGUCCACUCAAAUGCACAUAUUUGAGCUCAAUCAAACUUAAAUUUGAAACAAAUAGUGAUGAAAGAUCAAACAUUUAUACCUAGCUUAGGAUCCGAACCAAUCUCCUCUUUCGCCUCCCUCGUCGCCGUGUCCCCAUCGUCCUUGUCCCCCUCCUCUGUUUUCCCACCCGGCAAAGAAACUUCACCUGCAGAAACACAAAACCAAAAAUUAAAAAACCAAUCUUUCCCAUUUCCAUUUUUAUCAAUUUCCUCAAUUUUUCCCAUUUCCAGAAAAAUGAGCAAGAAGCUUAAGCAGGAAAAAAAUCAUAAUUUCAACAACCAAAACCCAAUACCCGUUUAAUCAUACACGAACGAAAAAUCUAAACACAGAGUCACAGAUUAACGAACUGAAAACCCAAAAAAAAUAAAGGAAACUGACCUUACUUAAGAACAAUACAUAGAACACAGAGAAACGAAACAAAUAAAGGAACCCCCAAAACCAAAUAAAGGAACCCUCAAAACCUGACCUAACAGUGCAACAAAAUCUGGAAAUAAUUCACAGCAAAAAGGCAGAAAUGAUGACAAUCUAUGCUAACAGUAAAGAAUCGAAUUAAAAAUUGAACUUAGCUUUUGAAAUCCAGCCACUCAUCCGACAUGCAAAAGGGAACGGAUGAUCGAGAGUGAAUCAUGGACUGAGGGACCUUACUCGACCCAUCAUUGGAGCUACGUUUGUAGCUUUUGGGGAGAAAAAAAUUGAAUGUGAAAGCUGCUUUUGAUGUGGCCAUUAAGGUGGUGCUUCAGCAACCGAAGCAAAAGAAGAAGAGGCAGAAAAAUGUGAGUAUUCCAUGAAGAAAAAAAAAAGGUUAAAAAAUCACUAAAAAGAAAAGGCAGAAAAAUGCAGGGUAUUCCAUGAAGAAAAAUUCAACAAUUAAAUAAUAUAGCUGUAAACCUUAGACUCCAAUCAGGUCAAGUGUGAGAUUUCAAACACAGAGAUUUACUUCAUGUUAAAAAACUGCUAAAUACAUUGCUAACUGUUAAGAGCAUGAACUAUCUGUAAAGUAAAAAGCCUUGCAGAUAAGUUUAAACGAUCAACUGUCAACUUAUUAUUGUUGCUGGUUUUGAGGUGGACGUUCGUAUUCUAACAUGGUAUUAAAAGAGAUUAUAAGUGUGUGCGCUCUUAAAUCAGCCAACACCAUGUAUUAAUCAAAUAAUUUAUAUCUAAAGAUUGAGACAUACAACAUGAAACCUGCAAUUAGAUCCCAAUCACAAAAUGCAAUAAAAAAAUUCCUAAUCUAACCAUCCAUAUACUAACAACCUAUUCGAGCAGCUAUUAGCACAAUUUACCUCCCUCUCUAUUCUUCCCCACCCCCUCUUUAACCAAAUAAAAACUCAUUUGUCUCACUAAAUAAAAACCUCAAAUUUGUUUUUUCAAAGCUGCAACAACAUCACUAAAAACACCAUGUAAUAAAAAUUUAAAAAAACCAAUCCAAUUUAAGUCGAGAAGCAAAUGACCAAACCUCCUAUUUUGAGGAAACAUUUUGCAUUCAAACCUAAAAUGCUUGCCUGCAAAGAAGGAUUAAAUAGCAAAGCAGACUUUCGGGGGAAAUAAAAAAAACAGACUAUUUAUAAUACAAUAAAAAUAAAGUAAUUCAUCAUCCCCACCAUCUCUGUGAGCUUUAACAGAACAGAGGAAUCAAAUUAAGCAAUAUAUAAAUUUAAGUUGACAUUCCAGUGUUCUACCUCUAACCUUGGUAGCAUGCAUGCACUGUAAGUUAUAAAGUGAAUUAAGCCAAGAUCUUCUAACUUCAUGAUUUUCACAUAUGCAUUAGAUGGAGAAAUACAAUAAAUAAUCAAAUAUGUAAGACUCUGAUAUUCAAAACCAAACAAACCCAAUUACACUUUUAGUUCACUAACCCCAUUGAAUAAAAUCCAAUUCAAUAAAAUAACAGAAAAUUAAACAACCCAAAAAUCAAAACAACCCCACUUGUAGUUUUAGCUCACUAAUCCGUUGGAUAAAUAGAUGCCAAAUUCAAUCAGAAAACAUACAAUUAACAACAACCCAGAAGAGCCAUCCGAAAACCCAACCAAUUAACCAAAAAAUACCACUUGUUCUUUUAGCUUAGUAACCAACCUCUACUUGUUUUCUGGCAAAUUUGGGGUCCUUUGAUUUCUAGACUUUCAGUAGAAACUGAUUAUACCAUGGGCUAAUAUUCAAGUACCACAAAAUAUAAUUUUACCGUAGUAAGCUUUUUGAUUCACUCCAAACGAAGAUAUUAUAUGUUCACAUAUAUAUAUUCACAACCAUAAAAAGAAGAACUUAUCUCUGGCAUUUUAAUAAAAAUAAAAAUAAAUUAUUCACCCACAGUAAAAACCGAAACAGCUAAAUUAAACCCAAAAAUUAAUCAUGAUCAUACAUAUGUAUUCCUGACAAAUGUUUAGCCCUUUAAUUAAAACACUAAAAUAAAAAAUUGCUCACCCACAGUAAAAAACCGAAACAUGCAAACCAAAGCCCAAAAUUUAAUCAUCACUAUUACUUUUUUUUUUUUUGGUGUUUUUAAGUUUCAGGGAAAAAUGGAAGCACAAACAAUCAAAAAACCCAAACAAAAAGAAAUUAACACCAAAGAGAUAAAUUAUAUACCUGACCCAGAAAAAGCUUGGAAGCUCACAUAAUGAAACCCUAAAACUCGAAGAAGGAUGCUUCCUGCAAACCAAAUACAAAAUCAGACUCUCUCUCUUAGAAAGAGAGAAGUUAUCAAGUCCUGUACUUGGUUAUAUUUGUUCAAGUUAGGAAAAAUCGAGUACAGGGUUGGUACCUGGAGCUUGAGAAAUCAGAGAGCUUGCCUGUUUGAGAAAAGAUGAUAACAACAGCUUCAGAUUCACACAGAAAACGUACAAAAAACGCACAACAUGCUCUCUGCCCUCUCUCUCUCUCCCUCCCUGUCCAUCCGUCCCUCAAAAAGUGGGAAAAAAAAUCUCCAAACGUCUCUCCCACUCAUGAAAUCGAGGAUCUGCAGCAAUGGCGCUGAGGUCGCCACUCCUCCCUCUCCCUUUCUCUGUCGCUCUGUCUCUGUCUCUGUCUCUGUCUCUGUCUCUCUCUAUCGAAGGCAUGGCCUUUCAUCCCCGAAACCCUCACUGAAUGACAGCAAACCCAAACCCACCCCAAUCCGUCUCAAACACACAGGACAAAAUUGCCCUUCCAACCCAGCCCCAAUACCAGCCCAAACCUUACGGUUUUGUUGUAAAUAGCGUGAAAUCGAGUGGCUCCCUGAUAAGCCAUAUGGACAAAAUUACCCUCUGAAAUUUUGAGAAUCACCCUCCCAACCCACUCCCAUUCGGCUGGUACUGUUGUAAAUAAAGCAAAAUAAAAACAAACGUGAAUAGUGCCUGCCCUCCCCCUACUUUAGUAUAGAUAAUUUUGCACAUUGCAUAUAUGUAGAUUAAGGACGGUGGUAACAUACCUUGUAAUUUGUACAAAUUAGGAUUUUCAUUCAAAGAACUAUAAUAUACACAAUUACAAAAAAAGUGAUUCAAACUUGUUCUUCUCUUAAGGAAAUUACUCACAGUUGAAAUUCUGAAUGGAUGAAGUUUUGGCUUCCCUUUCCGACUAUAUUUGAUUAACCUUUUUUUAAUCCAAUGAGUGCCUUCAUGAGAGAGAGAGAGAGAGGAAUAUUAGGUGAAAAGUAUUGCCAAAUCACACAGAGAUCAAAAUCUUGAAUAUAUAUGUUUAACCAUGUCAAAGUGAGUGUGUAAAGGGUGUAGUCUGCAGAAAGGGCAACAUUUUCACUGCUAGAAAGUUGGAAACUAAACUUUUACACAGAUAUUGGAUUUUAUUAAUUCCCUUCGCGAAUUGAAAAGCAAAUUGUUCGAGUAAUGCAGGUAAAUUCGAUAUACAUAUGCGUUGAUCUAUGUGACGGUUAUAAGUUAUAACUGUAUUGUCUUAACGCAAAAAUGAUCAUAAAUGUAAGUGUCUGUAUUAUGGAAGUAAGGGACUUACAGCAAUUGCUAUGAGCUUUAACAGCAGUCACUCCAAGUACCUUAUUACGGAAGUAAGGGACUUACAUCAAUUGCUAUGAGCUCUACCAGCAGUCUCUCAAAGUGGUGCAAGGGCUAAAAUUAUAAAUAAAAAGUAAUUUAAACAAUUUAACUUAAUAAAAUAUUGUAAUUUAAACAAUGCCUAUAUAUUCAAACAUCCCAAAACAGGAAUGAACUUCUAGAAAACAUGCGCAUGAAAAUAAACGGCAUUACUCACCCAUUGAGUUGGACCAUCAAACUGGAGCGUAAGAAGGAUCAUCAUGUACCUAUGAAACCCAAAGGAAAAUUUUAGCAACCCCAAAGCUUGUAUGCAAGCGUGAAUAAGUAUGCGUGUAUGAAUCUAUUCAUAGUGAAGAAGGCUACCUUAAGAAAUAUUUGCAUCUGCAGCUUCAUAUGGCCAUACAACAAAAAGCAUCGCAUAUGAUAACAAACCCCAGCUGCACCACAAAAGGAAUAUGAUCUUCCUCUCGACUUGUAUUUGCAGUUGUUACUGUAACAUCUGCAGACAGCAUACAUAAGCACUGAUUCGAUAAUUCUAAAGGAAAAAAAGUUCUUAUUCGAUAAUGCACCAAAUCCUAUCCAAAAACCAAGGGGGUGCCAUAUCCCUAGAUUAACAGAGCAUCUUUCUUUGUUCCAAAACAAAUUGCAAUUGGCUUUGGUAAAGUAGAAAGAUUACCAGAUACCGACUCUGUUCCAUUAUUCGACUGUCCUUUUAGUUCUAUCUCUCAACAUGGGAAAUACAAUAAGACAGUAAAGACAAAAGUUAGUGAUGCUAUUACAUAGUGAAAGAAAAUAAGACAUUCACAUAUUGAUAGCUAUUUACUGUCCUUUCUCAUCAUAAUCUUGGCCCCAAUAUAUAUACUGAAUUUUGAAUGCAAUGAGAGAAAUAUACCUUUGGGGCGUCAAUGCCAGAAGAGUGAGUGAGGGAUCUAAGAUGUUUGAGAGCAGGAAUUUUUAAGUAAUUUGUGUGAAAAAGUUGAAGAGCUUCGAACAGAGUGGAGUGGGUUGGCCUGGGCUAAAAUAAAGAGGAUGAACUCUAGAAAGUAGAAAAUGUUGUUAUUCAACCAAACUCAAAAGUAAAGAAACCAUACAAUUAACAUAUAAAUAAGUUUUAUAUACCAAUGUUUACAUGUACGUUGUUUGAGAAGGUAAAUUAGCAACAUAUACAGUGAUCAAAAGAUUAACAGCAAUAAACUGCUCAUUAUUCGAAAUAUACAUGAAAGUUGUCAUUCACAUGAUCCAAAUGGUAGAGGACAAAACAGAAGGAAGCAAAUAUUAUAGCAGCAUAAGUUGAAUAAUUGCAGCAAGUAAACAAAUAGAAAGGCUAGCUAGAUUACACAAUCCAGUUCUAGGUCGGACUAACCAUGUUAGCCAUCCGCCCACCACCAGCACCGUCGGCUUCUUAUUAAAAAUGUAGAAUAGAAGACUCAAAAACUGGAAAUGAAAGCAGGUAACAUUGAGUUUUAAUAACCAAAAAGGGACAUUGUUUAAGCAGCUCCAUAGCAGCAAUUAUACUUGGACGAUGAGCUGCAAAAACAGAAAAGAAAACACAAAUUAAACUAAAAAAAAUAUAAAAUUUAGCACUAAUCCAGGAUUAAAUAUAAAAUAUAAAGUCAUUAGGAUUGGGACCUUUGCAUUGAGGAAUAUCUACUACAUUAUGAGUUCCCUCCUGACAGUGGCGGAUCCAGGAUUUUAAACUCGGGGGGUCUCAAUAAUAAAGGUCAAAAAAUUUAUACACAAAAACAACAUUGAAAAUUUAAAUAUAAUACAUUUCAUUCAAAAAUCAUAUGCAAAACAAUAUUACAAAUUAUAAAAUCAUAAUUCAAGCGUCCAUUACAAGGUUUCAUAAGUUACUACCUAAGUUAUUGAUUAUCUAAUAUGGACCACUAAAUUUAAAACACCAGUCAAAUAAAACUCUUCCCAAACUCCCACUAUCUUUCUAACCAAACACACCAUUUUUCUCUUUUACUAGUUUCCAAACAUCCACUUUCUCUCUCACUAAGAACACAGCUGCCAUACCUCCACCAACCACCUCCCUCCCCAUUCUCCCGAAGCCAUGGCAGCUCCACCCCCAAAUUUCACCAACCCAUGACAGAUCAUAUCCAUCUUACUAACCUUAUGCAGGAAAUUUCACCCAUAACAAAAAUUACUAAGGUGGUUGAAAUAAUUUGGGGAAAUUUGGGCUUAUGUACUGCCCCGCCAGACGACAGAUGGAGGAGAAGUGGGUGGCACCGAUGGAUGAGACCAUGGCAGAAGCAAGGAGAGAGGCUGGAAGGGUCCCUAUUUUCUUUCUUCUCCGUGCGCGGUCAUCUUCUCCGAGAAGAAGACAGCCACUGCAACCUACAACCUGCACAGACCUCAUGCUCGAGUACGAGGGGUCCCCGGAAAAUUUCUAGCAGCGAUUUAGGAUCGCCGACGGGUCCUGGGACCUCCCAGGUCCCUAUGUAUGCAGGAAAACCUAAGGUUCCUCCUUAGGUUUUUCGAUGUACCAAACCCGAAUCCGCCGUCCUUUUUCCAAAAUUCUAACGUUUUCAUAGAGUUUUAUUAAACGACCUUUAAUUGUGUUUAGGUGCAUCGGUGGAAGUGACCUCAUUCUUGAUGGUUCGAGCGGCUUUCGGGCAAUGGAAAACUUGUGAGUGGACCCCUUCUAAACUUAUAUAUUGUUAUAAAAUAUUAGCCUAGCAUGCAUUCCAUAUUUCAUGAUUUGAAUAUGAUUUAUAAUAUGCUUUAUGGACUUUUAUAAUUAUGGUUUACGAAAUAGUUUGAUUUAUCGAAAUUACGUUUUAUUAGGUAUUGAAUUAUUGGAUUUACAUAUAUGGAUUUCUAUGGUUUUCAAAUACGAUUUAUAUUACGGUUUUACGAACAUGAAUUGUUUUAUGGAUUUCAUGAAUACAAUUUAUCUUGGAUUUAUGAGAUGAGACUUUGAGCUAGUGAGCUCCGGGUUUGAUAUGAGUUUUGAGAUAUGUUUUUGGUACUUAAUCUAGUGGGUUAUCAUACGGCACAUCCGCACACCACGGGUAUAGAUGUGUAUGGCCAUAGGACACAGAUGAUGAGGAGGAGUAAGAUAUGAUAUAUUGUAUACCCCCAGUUCACUGUCGAAAGCAGUGUCAGAUAACUUCACUAGCCAUGGCUAGUGUCGGUAUGGAUGUUAUGCUAUUUCAUACAGCUUCACCUUCGGGUGAUAGACAGUUAUUUAGCUUCACCUUCGGGGUGAUGGACAUGUACUACCUUCGGCCAACUAUAAUAGCCUUAGUUGAGUACUUCACUGACAAGAUUUACAAAUUUGCCUUUGGGCGACGACAUUUUCAUUAUCAAGCACUGGAUUUUACAUAUCUACCUUCUAAAUGGAUUUUCAUGGCAUGCUAGGGUUUUUCAUAAAGCCUAUAUGUAGUAUUAUAUAUGUUUUCAAAAUAAGGGGUUAUUAUGUUCAUAAAUAAAAUGUUUUCCUAUUAUUAGUAUUAUUAAUAUAAACUUUGGUCCACUCACCUUUUCAGUUUUUGCGCCUCCUCAGGAGUUAGGAUCGAGGCACAUGAUCCCGGCAUCAUGGCAUGUUGAUAUAGGUAUCCUUGAAUCUUCUUAGUGUAGGUAUCAUUCCCUUAUUCAUAUCUUUUUAUAGUGAUUCUUUCCUAUUAUUUCUAAUUAGUUGUAUGCUCUGAACAAAUUCCUGCUUUGGUAUAAUCGUUAUAACUACUUAUCUUGUAAUUGUUUGCAUGUUUAAAAUGGUUUCGUCACCUUUGGGCGUGGGCUAGCACGUGCCUACCCUGGUAUGUUGGGGUAUCGGGGUUGGGGCGUGUCAAAGAUAGAGAGUGAAUUUCUAGCAGAUUCAAUGGUUGUCUACAUUUUAAAAAGAGCUUGCCGAAAAGAUUGAUUCAGAUGAAAUAACAAAGGAUUUCAAUUCCAUUAAGGAUUGAAGGGCACAACUUGAAUAGGUAUUUUUCUUUUUAUUUGUUAGGUUGUUAUGACAAGAUUGACGAUGUAUGUUUCUUUAUAUUGUAAGUUGCAACUUUAAAGGUUUUCUUCGUUAAAUCUAGUUGAAACUUGAUUCAUUUAGAGUUAAAUUUCUUACUUCAAAUUGUUGCUUUUAGGCUUAUUAUUGUGUAACUUUAUGCAAGCAACAAAAAAUUUUAACCAUUUGAUUUUGUACUAAUAAUUUUAGCUUAGCAUGCCACCAAAUAAUUCAUGUCUCCGCUAUUGAAAUCUUAGCAUGUGCAAUUUCAAAGUCUCGGUUGCCAAGUCUCCCCAGGCUGUUCAGCACCCAUUCUGAAUCUUGAUCGAGAUCUAGAGCAGUGCAAGUCAAGGAGUCUUCAUUCUCAUUUGAAACAAUGCUAAAAUUAUACCUCAGCUUGGACUCCUUGGGCAAAAUAUACCCAAAUGUAUUAAUAAUUUAAUACUACUUGUGGAUGCACCACUAGUCCAAAAAAAUCACCUCUCCUUUCUUAAUCUUCAAUUGGUGAGGGUCCCAAUCAAGCGUGAAAGGCCCCGGCGCACGGUUGGCUUUAGUUUCCCAUGAUGAAAUCGACGAAACGUGGCCAUUUGUACGGUUGACACCCAAUUUCAUGCCCGGCAAAAAGGUGUCAACUGGUAAUCAAAGCUUUACGUUCACUUCUUCUUGUACAAAAUUUCCCGAAUCCAAAAGGAUAGCCACAACAGUAGCAAUACUGUUACUUAUGUUGGUAGACCUAGUAGUUUGUGGAGCUGAGAAAAACACAAUUGGAUUAGGAUCCCUCCCGCAUAAUUUUCAAGGUUUUAUUCCUGUCCAAGGCAAGAGUGCGUACAAAAUAGGGGCUUUACGGUUGCAAAUCCAAGCAAUGUUGCCAUCGGCCUUGUUGCUCUGGAUAGAUACGUAGCUGGUGCUUUUGGAACUGUCGUCGUGUACACAGGAACUGAAACUGAACUUCUCCGAUGCAGAGACCAAAGAACUUGAGGAGUUGAGAGUGUCUCCUGCUGGUUUCAGUGUGUCCUUGCACUUGCAGCAUUGUGACAGGUCCACAGUCAGCAUGCAAAAAUGAUUAAGUUGAUUAUUGCCAUGAUUAAUUAAUGACCAUAACAUGAAGUUUAAUUUCUCCAUAUGAUGAGGAAGAAAGACAUGAAAUCCAUCACCAGAACAUGAUUAAGAAUUUAAUCAAGCAACGCGUCUUAGUUAAACCAUUACAAUCAUUGUACAAGGCAUUUAUAAAUUAAAAAAAAGGGAAUAAAGUAAUAAUUGUUAGAAUAAGAAGAAAAUGUAGUACAACAAUGGAGGAUAUGCUGCAAUGACUAGAGUGAGAGAGAGAGAAAGAAGAGAGCAGAGAAUAUGACACUGCAAUUCUUUUCACACGCAUUGUUUGAUUGCUCACUUAGUGAGAGAGGAACAUCUCUCUACACUUAACAGUUACACUUCCAAACUUUUGGCAGUAUUCAAAAUUACAUCCAAGUAAUCCUAGCCAUCCAUCUUACACCCUAUGAGAUGAAGACACAUGUACACUCACUUACUUAAGAACUAUGAGACUUAGAUAAGAAAGCAUACAACCAAUUUAGCUAAUCAUCCUAGCAAUAUAAGCUAGAAAUACAACUACCACAUCAGAUCACAAUUUACACACUAACAGCCCCCUUUAAAUUGUGAACUGAUUUAACUCCAAGAAGUUCCCUCAGAUAACUGAAUUGUUCUCUUGCCAAUGCCUUUGUAAAGAUAUCAGCAAUUUGGUCUUUCGUAGGACAAUGCAACAGCUCAAUUACUCCUUGCUGCAAUGCUUCCUUUAUGAAAUGGUAUCUCCUGUUGAUGUGCUUGGUCUUCUGAUGAAAAAUAGGAUUUUUAAUGAUAGCUAUGGCUGAAGUAUUAUCACAAUUCAUUGGUGUUGCAACUAUUUGCAUUUCACCAAAGUCCUCCAAAACAAAUCUCAGCCAUGUAGCCUGUGCAGUUGCUUCAGAUGCACUAAUGUACUCUACUUCAGCUGUUGAUAAUGCAACACAUUGUUGCUUGACUGAAGACCAAGAGAAAACUCCACUGCCAAAGGUAAAUGCAUACCCCGAUGUACUUUUCAUAUCAUCUUCUGAACCGCUCCAGUCACUGUCACAAAAUCCCAUUAAGAUUGCUCCUUUGCCUUUCUUGUAUUCCAAGCCAAAAUCAAGAGUCCCUUGAACAUAUCUUAGUACUCUCUUUGCUGUCCCAAGGUGCUUGUUGGUUGGACAGUGCAUAAACCGUGAUAGCAGACAUGCAACAUACAUUAUAUCAGGUCUAGUUGCUGUGAGAUACAGCAAACUGCCUACAAUUUGUCUAUAUUGAGCUUCAUCCGUAGUCCCACUUCCAUCCUCUUUUCUCAAUUUAUCACUUGGAACCAAUGGAGUACUCACUGACUUACAGUCUUGAAGUCCAAAUUUCUUCAGUAGAGAAGAAGCAUAUUUUCUCUGAUGAAUGAAAAUAUACUCCUCAGUUUGCAUUACUCCCAUACCAAGAAAGUGAUGUAAGAGUCCAAGAUCAGUCAUUUCAUAUUUGAGCAUCAUAUUAGAUUUAAAGUCAUCCAUCAAUUCCUGACAACUUCCAGUGUAUAUUAUGUCAUCAACAUAGAUAGACACUAUAAUCAUUUCUGAACUUUUCCUCCACUUGGUAUACAGAGUUGCUUCGCUAGUGCUUUUCUUAAACCCACAGAGUGUAAGAUAUGAGUCUAUUUCACCAUACCAGGCCCUUGGUGCCUGCUUCAGACCAUACAGUGCUUUAUGUAACCUGUAGACCUUAUCUUCUUCCCCUUGUACAAUAAAUCCAUCCGGCUGAUCAACAUACACUUCUUCUUCUAGUACACCAUUCAAGAAUGCCGAUUUUACAUCCAAUUGAAACAACUUCCAUUUGUUCUUUGCUGCCAGGGCAAUUAAUGUUCUGAUUGUAUCCAACCUUGCCACAGGUGCAAAGGUUUCAUUAUAAUCAAUUCCGGGCUUUUGUGCAUAGCCUUUUGCAACAAGCCUAGCCUUGUUCUUUUGAACUGAUCCAUCCAAAUUCAAUUUAGUUUUGUACACCCAUUUCACACCAAUCACAGGUUUAUCAGAUGGUCUUUUCACUAAUUCCCAAGUCUUAUUUUUCUCAAUCAUGCUGAUUUCAUCUUUCAUAGCUUUCUUCCAUGCUUUAUCCUGUGCAGCUUCAUAAUAGGAUUCUGGUUCAACAAUACACAUGACAUCUUUCAUAGAUUUCACUCAAACUUCUAUAUCUCAAAGGAGUAUGAUCAAUCUGAGAUGCAAAAAUUGAGUCACUAGCACUUCCAGAUUCAAUGAGUGGAGAAUCUGUAAGUUGAGUCUGAGAACCUUCAGCAACAGCUUGUUCCAUGGAAUCCGAAUCCUCAUCAGCUUCUUUCAUCUCUGAAGAUUCACUUGCAGCAAUUGGAAUGUACACUUCUUUGAUCUUCUAUCUAUCCCAAUCCUAUGUACCAUUCUCAUAAAAAAUAACAUCUCUUGAAAUGAUUACUUUCUGAUUUUCAGGAUUAAGCAAUCUGUACCCCUUUUCACAAGUGCCAUAUCCAAUAAAAAUACCAAUGACACUUGUUUCAUCCAGCUUCUGUCUCAGGUUUCCAGGAAUAAGGGAAUAACCUAAUGAGCCAAACACUCUCAAGUGUUGAAUUCCAGGUUUUCUUCCACUGAAUUUCUCAAAAGGUGUCACAUUUUCCAAUACUUUUGUAGGACAUCUAUUUAGCAAGUAGACAGAUGUAACUACAGCUUCACCCCAAAGACUAUAAGGAAGACCUUUCUCAUGAAGCAUACACUUUGCCAUCUCCACUAUAGUUCUAUUUUUUCUCUCUGCAACUCCAUUCUGUUGUGGAGAGUAUGCAACAGUAAGCUGCCACUCCAAACCCAAAGCUUCACAAAACUGUUCAAAUUCAUUUGAGGUAAAUUCUUCUCCUCUAUCUGUUCUCAAUUUCUUCACUGAAAAACCACUUUGAAGUUCCACCAUAGCUUUGAAUUUCUUGAAUACAUGAAAGACAUCUGACUUGUGUCUCAAGAGAUAUAUCCAGCACAUCCUCGAAUAGUCAUCAAUGAAUGUAACAAAGUAUCGAUUUCCACUUAUGGUUGGUGUUUGCAUAGGGCCACACACAUCUGAGUGUAUAAGUUCCAAUGGCAUUCUUGCUCUCCAGAUUGACUCCCUUGGAAAGGACACUCUAUGAUUCUUACCAAAUGCACAUCCCUGACAUACACCUUCACUGUCAUGCAUUUCAGGUAACCCAAGAACCAUAUCAUGCUCCUGCAAUUGUUGCAAACUUCUAAAAUUCAGGUGGCCAAACCGUUUAUGCCACAUUGUACUAUUCUGAUGCACAUUGGUUUUCAGUACCAAAUGAUCGUUUGACUUGAACACAAGUGGAAAGCAUCUGUUCCCCUUUUGUUUCACACUAACCACUAAAUUUGUCAGAGUUCUAUCAUAAAAAAUAUCCACCUUAUAAUCACCAAAUAACAGAAAAUACCCAUGUUCAGUCAUCUGCCCAACACUGAGAAGGUUUUCUGCAAUUCCAGGUACUAACAUAACUUCUCUUAUGUACCUUUUUCCUUUAUCCGUGUCAAUGACCAAGGUUCCUUUGCCUUUCACAUCAACAAGAACCCCUGUGCCAACUUGCACUUUUGCUUUAAUACUUCUAUCAAUUUCCACAAGUAACUCCUCUCUGGAAGUCAUGUGAUUACUGCACGCACUGUCAAUAUACCAGGCAUCACUCACAGCUUUCACUUCAGUUGAUUGCUUGACCAUGAAGAGAUUUCCAGGUUCCAGGUUCUCCCACCUUGUUUCUAAAAUUUCUUUGCUCUCCCACUUUGUCUGCAAAAUUCCCUUGCUGAGCAUUUUUGUUUUGAUUGCAGAUCCUAGCAAUAUGACCAGGUUUUCCACACUUGUGACAUUUAAUCUUCCCUUUUAGCCAACAUUCACCAUAGUGAAGUUUAUCACAGUAUUUGCAUGCCCCUCCAGUGUUGUUAGCUUCAUUUCUUACACUUGGAGUAAACCUGUUAGUCCACUGCUUCCCUUUGAACUUGAAGUUCUUCUGAUAUUUUGAUCCACCAGUAUUGGUAUGUUGAUUACCAAAUUUACUAUUCUUAGAUGAGAUAUAUAUCUAAGCUAGCAAAUGCACGUUCUGUGCUACUCUCUUCAUGUCUGAUUAAUCUUAGUUCAAACCCUUUCAAUAUGGCAACCACAUCUUGUGCAUCAAUUACAUCAAUAUCUUUAGUAUUUUCUAUAACAGAAGCAAUGCUAUCAUAUGUUUUGGGUAAACUGAUCAAUAACUUUUGCACAAUUCUCUGAUUACUAAGAUCUUCUCCAUAGCUUCGCAUCUGAUUUAUCAGAUCAAACAACCUAGCUAAAUAUGCAGCUAGAGAUUCACUUUCACUCAUACGGGUAUAUUCAAAAUCACGACGCAGACCUUGUAAUUUCACAGAUCGUACCUGUUUGUCCCUACACAUACUCUUGCUUCAGAAUAUCCCAAGCUUCUUUUGCAGUUUCCAAGGUUGCAAUGCGUGGAAAAAUUUGAUCCGAUACGGCUCCCUGAAUGAUUCCAAGAGCCCUUGCAUCCUUGACCAGAUUUUCACUCCGCAACUUCGUUUCCACCUCAGUGAGUUCUCCUUCCCCUUUCGCUGAAGUGGUAAAACCUUUUUCAACAAUAUUCCAUAACUCGUGAGAUCGGAAGAUUGUUUUCAUUCGAAUCUACCAGAAAUCGAAAUUUUCUCCGUUGAACACCGGAGCUCGAAGCUCCCCUCCACCAGAUCCAGCCAUGUUAGACUUAGAUCACACCUCUCUCUACUAUUUUCUUUGCAACGAUGUGUUGCAAACACUUGCUCACUAUCUCUCACAGAAUCGACGCCCAGAGAUUCAGACCCAACAAGGCUCUGAGGCCAUGUUAGAAUAAGAAGAAAAUGUAGUACAACAAUGGAGGAUAUGCUGCAAUGACUAGAGUGAGAGAGAGAGAAAGAAGAGAGCAGAGAAUAUGACACUGCAAUUCUUUUCACACGCACUGUUUGAUUGCUCACUUAGUGAAAGAGGAACAUCUCUCUACACUUAACAGUUACACUUCCAAACUUUUGGCAGUAUUCAAAAUUACAUCCAAGUAAUCCUAGCCAUCCAUCUUACACCCUAUGAGAUGAAGACACAUGUACACUCACUUACUUAAGAACUAAGAGACUUAGAUAAGAAAGCAUACAACCAAUUUAGCUAAUCAUCCUAGCAAUAUAAGCUAGAAAUACAACUACCACAUCAGAUCACAAUUUACACACUAACAAUAAUUACAAGUUUUACACAAGUGACCAUUUAUUACAAUGGUGGAAAGGUGUUAAAAGCUUUUGCAUGACGGUGUGAGUUCGAACCUCGUCGGUUGUUAAUCUACAAACCCCGUCGGUAGUUAAUCUAACUUCUAAUCUAAUAAAAUCUAUUUUUUGACCAAAAAAAAAUAAUUACAAGUUUUACUAAAAAUUUAGGGGUGUGAUAUCUACACACCCCUUUUUACUUCUCUCACAUCUUUUUGAUUUUCGACCGUCGGAUCGGAUGAAUUGAAGAAGAUCAACGGACAGAAAUUAAUAAGGAUGUGUGAGAAGUAAAAAAAGGUGUGUAGAUAGCACACCUCAAAAUUUACCGGAAGACUUGAUCACCCAUUUGUAUGCUGACAACGGUGACUAGAUUCACAACCUCUUUCCCACGUAAAUCACAUCAUCCAAUUUUAUUUUUCUUACAACAUAUCACGUAUCUGUCAUAUGUAAGACUUUUUUGGAAUAUGGAGCGUGAAAUUGCAGCGGAAGCAUCCUAGAUUUUUGAUCGAAUAUUGAGUUUGGUUUCAUGACAGACUUCCUGGAUCAAACACACCCUAAAAAAAUAUAUAAAAAACCAAUAAGGUCAUGGUGAUACGACAUCAUUUUAAGAGGAAAGGUAAAAACAAUCUAGUUUCUAUACUAGGAAGAUUCACUCGAACAAAUUCUUGGAAACUAUGACUCAAACAAAAUUCUAGGAAUUCAGUAUUUUUAACAAAUGAUAAACGUUUAAGAUAUAUUCUUUAUAAUAUUAGAGAAAUCGAACGGUUGAUCUAUAACUCGCAAAGUGGUUGUAGCUCAAGUAAUUUUACUCCCCAAUUUUACAUAAAACAUAAAAUAAAAACAAAUCCUAAUUUACAUGGUAAUUUUUUUUCAUAGCUAGGGACAACUUCGACUAUGGUAAUGCAAUUAAUAUACACUAGUUUUGGAUGGAGAAGUUUCAAGAUUGAGCAUGGGAUGGGGAGGGGCGAGAGACUUGGAUGGAGAGUGAGGUUUUAUGAGUUAAACAGUGAUGCAAGGAUGUAUUACUUAAAACUUUAGAGACCGUAUGUUGGGCUAUAUAUAAUUGUUUAACUCAUAAACGUUUUGAGUGUUUCUAACAUAUGCUUAUCAAAAGCCUUCUCGUUCUAUCAAACAAUACGAAAAUUUUCAAUUGAAUGCAAGACAUACUAUUUUAUAUAUCACAGUACUUCAUGGAUCAUCAUCAUCACAUAUCCUUAAUUCAAAGGUAAUAAAUGAGCAUCUAGUUUUAUUUUUAUUUUAUUUUAUAUAGGGACUACAGAAGCAAGCACCCUUUGUAAAUUAAACUCUAAAACUUCUCAAGUAUCUUGAAAGGUGCCAAAAGCCAUCAGCCAACUCCAGUUGAUGCAUAACCUCCUACAUUUACAAAAACAGCGUCGCCGUUAAUUUAUUGACUUCUUCCCAGGACACAUACCAAUUUGCGAAAGUGGUUUGACUGAUGCUAAUUAGUCGAGUAAAGUACAGUCUUUUCAAUUAAGCAGAUGCAAAACACUUAGUUGAGGCACUACAAAUAUGAUUUUUACCUUUAAUUAACGCGCUUCAAAAUCUGAACUGGACAUGUAGUUUGCUGAAGCAACAGUUUCAAGUUGCUGAUUCCCACUUAUACCAGCCUCCACCGUCCUCCUUCCAACAAAAAAUGCUGGCUUUGUUGGUGAUGCUAAUCGAAAGCUUUCAUUUGUCAACAUAGAUAUGACAUCUGACAUGGUAGGGCGAUCUGCUGCAUUUUCUUCUACGCAAAGCAGACCGACAUGGAUGCAUCUUAACAGUUGCUCUUUAAUAAACGAAUUUCCUAAUGUUGGAUCCGUUAAUUCUAGCCCUGCACCUUUUUUCCAUAACUCCCAUGCCUGAAGAACAAGGAUUGCAUUUCAUUCUAAAGAAGAAAAAAUAUGAUUAUAAAUUUUAAGAGAGAGAUUUGUUUGUCAUACAUAUCCUACUAAAUUGAGUGCGCGAUCGUCAUUGUAAAAGCUGUUGUUUUUCCUUCCACUUAUGAUUUCAAGCAUCAAUACCCCGAAACUGUAGACAUCAGACUUUACAGAAAUAAUUCCCCCCACGGACUCUGGAGGCAUGUAACCACUGCACGAAAUGAAAAAGAAAAUUAGUCAGUAUACUUAUCUGGAAAAAUGCGUGUUUAGCAGUCAAAAGGGGAGGACCACGUCAAUGUGAUGCAGAAAUACUUACAGUGUCCCCACAACCUUUCUAGUGUUUGCUUCCAAUUCAUUUUGGGUGAAAAUCCUUGCCAUACCAAAAUCUGAAAUUUUUGGGUUCAUGUUUUCAUCAAGUAGUAUGUUACUAGCUUUUACAUCUCUAUGAAUUACUUUCUUUCUUGAGUAUUUGUGCAGAUAAAGCAACCCUUGAGCAAUUCCUUCGAGAAUGCUAAAACGCUUCUUCCAAUCUAGUAGUAGACCUCUGAUUGGAUCUGUCCAAUAUGUAGAGUUAAGUAGGACUAAUAUUAAUUAAUAGUAGUACUCUAUGAACUUUGACAGUAAAAUAAAAAUCAGAUAGUAAAUUUAACAAAUGAAAUCAAGUAUCUUGGUUCCUCACCAAAUAAAAAGUGGUCCAAACUUUUGUUCUGCAGAUACUCAUAUAUCAACAUCAUUUCUUCACCAUGAAUGCAAAAUCCGAAAAGGUGAACCAGGUUUGUAUGUUGGAGUUCAUAUAUAAGUAUCAGUUCAUUCUUGAAUUCUGAUGUUCCUUGCCCUGAACAUUUCGAAAGCCUCUUCACAGCUAUUUCUUGUCCCGCCGCCAAUUUCCCCUGAAUUGAUAAUCCAUAUCAUGUUUUUGCUGUCAUCUUUAGGCAAAUGAAGCUAAUUCCUUUUUUUUUUCUUACAGCUUUUGAAUUAGAACUUGGGAGCAGCCUCUCCAUAAAUGGGGGUAAGGCUAGCCGACAUUCACCUCUCCCAGACCCUGCGUAAAGCGGGAGCCUUGUGCACUGGGUACGACAGCUUUUGAAUUAGAAGCAGAAAUUUUUUUUUUUCAAAAUGUUACCUUAAACCGGUCCAAACCCUCCUUGUCCUAGCUUGUUUUCUUCAGCAAAGUUGCUUGUGGCAGCCACGAUGGAUGAAUAGCUAAAAACGCUAAAAUCAUGAUGUCGCUUAGAUUUCAUGAAGAUAAUCAUUUCGUUCUCAAUCGUUGUCCGGUUCUCACCUAUACAGAUCAAUUAUAAGAAAUUAAAGUUUCAAUGGAGACAACAAUUGUCAAAGAUGUGAUUAAUAAUCCUGUCUUAUGUUGGAUUAUGUGGCCAAGUGGCCAUAUACUUUAGAUUAAACAAACCAAAGGUGGACAACACCUUUCCUUGUUUUGGGGAGGAAAAUAGGGAAAAGGUUUUUUGUCUUGGUCCAUGGGAAGUCACGGUUGAGGUUUUGAAUAAUAAGUUUUGGUUGUAAUGAGAAGUAAGAGUGGGAUAGAAGAGAAGAAAAUAGAGUGCAGAAAAUUGAGAGAGCCGAAGAGAAGAGAGGGAGAGAAAGAAGGUACUGCUACAGUACCAUUUUCAGAGAAGGGGUUGUUGUUCCUUUCAUUGGAUAAUUCUCACUCCAUCAAAGUGUUAUUGUUGUAAUAGCUUUGAGCUUUGUAUAGAGAAGAAAUUAAUCACUAUAUUUCUUUCUCUAUUUGUUUCUUUGGAGUGUGAGUUAUUGGGUUAUUUGGGUUGUGAGAUUGCCAACACUUUGUAAACUCCCAUUUGGUUGAUAGUGGAUUCUUGGGUGAGCUCCUACUGCUCCGAGGACGUACUCUAGUUACACUGACUGUUGAGGAACCUCGUUAAAAUCUUGGUGUCUUUAAUAUUUUGUUCUUGCAUUUUAUUUGAUAUAUUUCCUGUGGGUUAGCUUGAGUUGGUUCCACAAGGGUUUGGUGCUAUCCUAGCACAACAAUUGGUAUCAGAGCACUGGUUGCUCUUGGGUACUGUCUAGUUGCCAAAAAUGUCAGACGGGCAAGAUGAAAAUCCUUUUGGAAGCAGCUCCGGGUUUGCAAGAACGACGGUGCAAAAUGCAAAGUUCGAAGUGGAAAAGUUUGAUGGCACACAAACAACUUCGGGAUGUGGCAAUGUGAGGUCAAAGAUGUGUUGGCUCAACAAGAUCUACUUGCCGCGUUGGGAGAGAAGCCGGAAACUAUGUCGAAGCCGGAAUGGGAAAAAUUAAAUUUGUGGGCUUGCUCUUCAAUUCGGUUGUGCCUUGCAAAAACUCAGAAGUAUUUUGUGAUGCGGGAGACGGUAGCAAGUGUGUGUUGUGGCAAAAAUUGGAAGACAAGUAUAUGACAAAGAGUGCAGAGAACCGACUACACUUGAAGAAAAAAGCUCUACCGCUUCCAAUACAAAGAAGGUACAAAAAUGAUUAGACACCUUGAUGCUUUUAAUAAGUUGAUUGCCGACUUGUUAAAUUUAGAUGAGGAUAUUAAGGAUGAAGAUAAGGCCUUAAUAUUGUUGAAUUCCUUGCCGGACUCUUAUGAGCAUUUUGUUACAACUAUUAUGCAUGGUAAAGAAACUGUGAAAUUUGAAGAUGUGUCAAAUGCCUUGAUGAAUUAUGAAAUGAGGCAUAGAGAUAAAAAUCAUGAUAGUACCUCUGAAGCUUUAUUUGUUAGAGGUAGAUCAUCGGAGAGGAGGUCAUCUUCUAGCAGGAAAAAAUCACAGUCUCGACCUAGAGGAAACUCUAAAGGUAGAAAACCUUUGGAAAGGGAUGAAUGUGCCUUUUGUCGUAAUAAGGGCCAUUGGAAGAAAGAUUGUCCCAAAUUGAAGACCAAAGGAAAAGAAAGUUCUGAAGCUAAUGUUGCUGAGGUUGAAACAGAUUUUUCUGAUUUUGCUUUAACCACUUCCUCAUCAUUUGAUUGUGCUACUAAGUGGGUGUUGGAUACGGGUUGUACUCAUCAUAUGACUCCUCACAAGGAUUGGUUUUCAAGCUUGAAAGAGUUUUGAUGGUGGCGUUGUGUUCAUGGGAGAUGACAAUCCUUGCACAACAAAAGGGAUUGGUACAGUUCGUUUGAAGUUGCAUGAUGGCAUGGUUAAAGAGUUGACAGGUGUUCGGUAUGUACCGAAUUUGAAGAAAAAUCUUAUUUCUUUGGGUACUUUGGAAUCUAAGGGUUUCAGGUUUCAUUCAGAUGGACAGACAUUGAAAGUUACUUAUGGUGCACUUGUUGUGAUGAAAGCUCCUAGAUGUGGCCAUUUGUAUUUAUUGCAGGGAAGCACUGUGACAGGUGAAGCAUCUGUAGUCUCUGAAAAUAUGGGCACAUCUGAUUCAGAUACUACUAGAUUGUGGCAUAUGAGAUUAGGCCAUGCCGGUGAGAAAGCUCUACAAGGGCUUGUGAAAAAAUGUCUUCUAAAAGGUGCCACGACUUGUAAGCUUGAUUUCUGCGAGCAUUGUGUCUUGGGAAAGCAAACUAGAGUGAAGUUUGGUACUGCUGUACAUCAGACGAAGGGCAUUCUUGAUUAUGUGCAUUCGGAUGUUUGGGGUCCUACAAAGACUCCCCUCUUUGAGUGGUAGACAUUGGUUCGUGACCUUUGUUGAUGAUUAUUCAAGAAGGUCUUGGGUCUACACUAUGAAGCAUAAGAGUGAGGUGUUAAGCAUUUUCUUGGGUUGGAAGAAAAUGGUUGAGAACCAGACUGGGAGAAAGAUUAAGAUUUUGAGAUCGGAUAAUGGUGGUGAAUACACAUCCGAUCCUUUCUUUAAAGUUUGCAAAGAGGAAGGAAUUGUGAGACAUUUCAGUGUUCGGGGAACUCCACAACAAAAAUGGAGUUGCAGAAAGAUUGAAUCGAACCUUGCUUGAGAAAGGUUAGAUGUAUGUUGUCUCAGUCGGGUUUAAGCAAGUCAUUUUGGGCAGAAGCAGUUAAUUAUGCAUGUCACAUCAUCAACCGGUUACCCUCAGCUGCUAUUCAGGGUAAGACACCAAUGGAGGUAUGGACUGGAAAACCUUCUUCUGAUUAUGAUCAUAUUCGUAUUUUUGGUUCACCUGCUUAUUUUCAUGUAACUGAAAAUAAACUUGAUCCUAGAGCCAAAAAGGCUAUCUUUCUUGGUUUUAGUAGUGGUGUCAAAGGUUACAGGUUGUGGUGUCCAGAGAUGAAGAAACUGGUAAUUAGUAGAGAUGUGACAUUUGACGAAGAAAGUAUGUACAAAGUCUCUGAGAAGAAUGUGAAAGAUGUCCAACAGGUGGAGCUUGAGAAAGUUGCUUCUGGUACUUCAAAUCCUAUUUCCGCUGAUGUCGAAGCCACUACAAGUGAAGAAGUUGGAGACCAUGAGGAUGUUGAAGAAGUUGAACUUGAAGAUUCUAUUCAAGUUGAAGAGCAAGUUUCACCUCAAGAGUCUAUUGCCAAGAACAGAGGAAAGAGACAAAUUACUAAGCCAGCUCGGUAUAGUGAUUAUGUUGCUUUUUGCUCUUCCUAUUAUCACUGAAGAGAUUCCAUCCAAUUUUGAGGAAGCUAUUGAGAGUGAGGAGAAGAAUAGGUGGUGCAAUGCCAUGGGUGAUGAGAUGAAUUCUCUCUUGAAGAACAAGACUUGGGAGUUAGCUAAAUUGCCUAAGGGCAAGAAAGCUAUUGGUUGCAAAUGGGUGUAUGCCAAGAAGGAAGAUGCUGAUGAGAAAAGCAAUGUGAGAUUUAAAGCAAGAUUAGUUGCUAAAGGGUAUGCACAAAAGGAGGGCAUUGACUACAAUGAAAUCUUUUCUCCGGUUGUGAAGCACUCCUCAAUUCGCAUUAUGUUAGCUCUUGUUGCACAGUAUGAUCUUGAGCUUGUGCAACUUGAUGUAAAAACGGCUUUCCUACAUGGUGAUUUGAAUGAAGAGAUUUAUAUGUGUCAACCAGAUGGGUAUAUAGUGAAAGGGAAGGAGAAUUUGUUUUGCAAAUUGAAGAAAUCACUUUAUGGUUUGAAGCAAUCUCCAAGGCAAUGGUAUUUGAGGUUUGAUAAAUUUAUGAGAGGCCAAAAUUAUUCUAGAAGUCAAUAUGAUCAUUGUGUGUACUUCAAGAAGUUGCAAGAUGGGUCUUUCAUUUAUUUAUUGAUAUAUGUUGAUGAUAUGUUGAUUGCCUCAAAGAAUGUCGAAGAGAUUGAGAAAUUGAAGAAGCAAAUGAAGAAUGAGUUUGAGAUGAAGGAUCUUGGUGAAGCGAAGAAGAUCCUUGGCAUGGAGAUCACUAGAGAUAGAGCAAAGGGUUUCGUCAGUUUGAAUCAAAAACAAUACCUUGAGAAGUUGAUUCGGAAGUUUGGAGUUCAUGAUUCAACCAAACCGGUUAGUACCCCUUUGGCUCCUCAUUUUAAAUUGAGUUCUCUACAAUGUCCUAAAAUCGAUAAAGAGAAACUGCAAAUGAAAAAUAUACCAUAUGCAAAUUUGGUUGGUAGUUUGAUGUAUGCAAUGGUAUGCUCUAGACCGGAUAUUGCUCAUGCAGUUGGCAUGGUGAGUCGAUAUAUGCAUAAUCCAAGUAAAGAGCAUUGGCAAGCAGCUAAGUGGAUAUUGAGGUAUCUCCAUGGUACUCGAGAUGUUGGUUUAUGCUUUGAGAGGGAUGACUCUGGUAUUGGUCAUUUUGCAGUUGGUUAUGUUGAUUCAGAUUAUGCAGGUGAUCUGGAUGGAAGGAAGUCUACUACAGGCUAUGUGUUUACUAUGGCUAAAGGGCCAGUUUGUUGGAGGUCCAUUUUGCAGUCGUCUGUUGCCUUGUCUACUACAGAGGCUGAAUAUAUGGCAGUUGCUGAAGCUAUAAAGGAGGCCAUUUGGAUACAUGGGCUUAUUAGAGAUUUGGGGGUUGAUCAGAAGCAGGUGGAGGUACAUUGUGAUAGUCAGAGUGCCAUUUAUUUGGCUAAGUAUCAGGUUCAUCAUGCGAGGACCAAGCACAUAGAUGUGCGUUAUCACUUUGUUCGUGAAAUUGUUGGUGAAGGGGAAAUCAUUCUCCAGAAGAUUCCAACUAAAGACAACCCCGCUGAUAUGUUGACUAAGGUUGUUGGUGUAGCCAAGUUUGUUCACUGUUUGAACUUGGCUCACAUUUUGCCUAUAUAAAGAAGGCGUUGAGUAGUAGGAGUUUUGGAGCAUUUGGCUCAGCAUGAGUUGUUCUCUUGCUAGUGUUUGGGAGUGAUGUUGUGUGCUAAUUGUGUUGGUUGGCUUAUCAUGGCGUUUUCGGAACUUGGCCAAGGUGGAGAUUGUUGGAUUAUGUGGCCAAGUGGCCAUAUACUUUAGAUUAAACAAACCAAAGGUGGACAACACCUUUCCUUGUUUUGGGGAGGAAAAUAGGGAAAAGGUUUUUUGUCUUGGUCCAUGGGAAGUCACGGUUGAGGUUUUGAAUAAUAAGUUUUGGUUGUAAUGAGAAGUAAGAGUGGGAUAGAAGAGAAGAAAAUAGAGUGCAGAAAAUUGAGAGAGCCGAAGAGAAGAGAGGGAGAGAAAGAAGGUACUGCUACAGUACCAUUUUCAGAGAAGGGGUUGUUGUUCCUUUCAUUGGAUAAUUCUCACUCCAUCAAAGUGUUAUUGUUGUAAUAGCUUUGAGCUUUGUAUAGAGAAGAAAUUAAUCACUAUAUUUCUUUCUCUAUUUGUUUCUUUGGAGUGUGAGUUAUUGGGUUAUUUGGGUUGUGAGAUUGCCAACACUUUGUAACUCCCAUUUGGUUGAUAGUGGAUUCUUGGGUGAGCUCCUACUGCUCCGAGGACGUACUCCAGUUACACUGACUGUUGAGGAACCUCGUUAAAAUCUUGGUGUCUUUAAUAUUUUGUUCUUGCAUUUUAUUUGAUAUAUUUCCUGUGGGUUAGCUUGAGUUGGUUCCACAAGGGUUUGGUGCUAUCCUAGCACAACAUCUUACUGGUGCACAUGAUUUAAAGAAAUAUACCAGCUGAUGCAAGGGCUGAUCUUCUUCGUUGGAGUAGAUAGUACGCGGUGCAAAGCACUAGAGCAGCAGCUAUAGAAAUGCCAAUCCAAACCCAUUUAUCUGCUGCAUCAUAAACAAUUAGCUAGCAACAUAUGCAAUCAGCGUAACACACACGCACAUGUACGCAUUAAUUGUCUUCAAUUUUUGGAUGAACUAGGUCUUGCAGGUUUCUUCCAGAAAACGAAGAAAAAUCCGAGACAGAGAGCAGAACUUAAGACAACAAUAACAAAGAUAGAGGUACCUAAUAAUACUGAUUCCACGCGUGUCACAGAUUUCCGGCUUAAAUCGGGUUUGCAGCCUCGGUAUAUAUCCUUCGGAUCAAGAAAAGAAAACCCUUUUGGGCAUUCGCAGGUUGGCCUUUUAUCUGGUUUGAGCUUACAGGUACUGUUGUAACCGCAAACACCAACGCCCAGUCGUAGGCAAAUAUCAUCCGGCAUAUACACCAGAGGACUAAUCCAGCUUGCAUUUCCAGUGAAGUAUUUCGGGUGAGAAUAUAAAGCGAAAAUCCCAUCAAAAUCAAGAGUUGCCCUUAUGUAGUUGUCCCUCACCGACACUCCCUCUGUCCCCUUAAGAGGGACUCUUCCAUCAUUUUCUCUCAGAACAGACAUGUCCCCUGAGCUGCUGAACACCAAUUCUUUGCCUUGACUACCUGGCACGUUCCCUGCGGUGGUCUUCGUGGAGAAGUAAGCUUUCUUGGCCUUAUCUGUUGUCAAGUUGACGGAAAUGAGCACGAGGUUUCCAUCAUCUUGCAAGCGCAGCUGGAACCGCCCUUUUGUGUAGUUAGUCUCCGAUUGUCUACACGAAAGCUUCCCAUUUCUCUCAAUUGUCUGUCCAGGCAAAACGGUGUCUGUAGGAUUGCUGAAGGUCUCCCACAAGCUCCCCGAGUUUUGGUGUUGAAGGACAAAGUUUCCGGUGUCAUUCAUGACCCCGUUCGCAACAGUCCCCAAGGUUAUUUCGGAUUUCCAUAUCUCUCCACCCUGAGGAUUGUUAAGAACUAGUCCACUGUUGGCAGUCAAGUUCAGAACUGAUCCCCUAGGUGCAACCAUGGGGUUGUUACCGUCGUAUGCAUACCAAACCACGGUUUUGUCUGGGAUAUUCGCAUACCAUAUCGAAAGCAAGAAAAGAUCAUUGUUUCCGAGGGGCGAAAAUCCAAACUCGAAAUCACCGGAUGGAGAAAGCCAUGAUGAGGAGUCGCCUAUAGUUGCAGUUAGAGAACUCCCAACUGCUACUCUUCCAUUAUUUUGGGAAAUCACAGAAAUUGGUAGCAAAAACAAAGAGAACAAAAGCAUCUCUACAGAAAGAGCCACUGCCAUUGCAAAAGCACCAAUUUUUCAACUUGGCUUAACUGAUUAGCUAUAUUUCUUAGUAAAGCAUUGGUCCUUGUUUAUAUCUUCAAGUAAAUGUGUGUGCAUGUGCCUGUCAUUUUCUAAGUUUUUGCCUGGAAUCAUUUUUUGAAGUCAAUGUUACCCAUCAGCCACGAUAUGACCUCAGACCUCGCUACAUCACACACAAUAAUAUCUCCGGGCCUACAGAAUAAUUUCUCCAAACCUACACAUAUCACAAGAAUUUCACUUUGAAAAAAAUAAUAUAAUGAACAGUUUUAUAUAUAAGACACCGAUACCGAUACUUUUUGUGAUAGAACUUAUUGUCUCUCUCAAUUCCUUGUAAUGUUGCAAGUUGGAGCAAUAUUGAUGUAAUUAGUAAUGGCCCGCUAACUUGCCUCUCUCAAAUCUCUUUUCAUCCUACUCUCGUCCCUCGUCCGUUUUAUGAUUCUACUUAAUUAAGCACUUAUAAGUGUUCCAAAUCAAACUUGUAACUUAAAUAAUUAAAAAUAUUUAUCACUACACUGGGGAUUCUAGGUUCCAAAAUAUAAUAUAUAAUAUAUAUGAAUGUUCCAAACCAAAAGGACAAGUAAAUACGAGCAUGACUCACGCUGCAUGUGUCGGCCAUUCAAGUCCACAAGUCAAAAUUCAACAAUGGGGCCCACAAAGAAAAUUUGAAAAAGUACAUGCAGAUUGAGGACGUAUACAAAGAAUCUGAAAACAAACCUCCAGGACCAAACAAAGACGACUAAGUCUCCAUUUCUGUAUUCACACAAACCAAAGUACUAACUGAAGUUUUUAAUGUAUGAUUACGUCAUUGGGGUAAAACACCCGAGGCCGAGUUGAGAUAAUCACAGGGUUGGGGAAUCGAGAUCCUCUCCGAAUGUCACAGUCUGGCACAAACGAACGUAGAGAUCCGAACCACUUAUUUUAAAUUCUACGGUCUUCAUUAGCCUAUCCUAUUGGCCCACAUCACACAAGGGGCCCAAAUCUUUCUCUCCCCUCUCUUGAACGGUUUGGAUAUCUCGGUCUGUCGAUUUUGGAUUGGGAGAUUCAAAGAGAAUUUGAUUUCGGGUUUGAGGUGUGGUUCGCCGACCAUUUGAAGCUCGUUGAGGCGUGGCCCAUCUCAUCCACGUCGGGAUAGCCAUUUCGUACCAAGUUGGAUCCCAGGUCAGGCCAGUCAUUUCAUUAGCCUAAGAUAGACCUGACAGACGAGGCGCUUGGAUAUUGCCUACCGCGACCAAAUGGACCCAUGGGCUCAUUAGAUGAUGAGUCUGGACCCUGGGGUGUGUAAAGCCCACCUCAGCUCGAUCCAUAUUCGGUCGAUACUUAAGGGAAGGUGGAUAUGGGGUAAAGGUAGAGUAAGCUCCAAGCCAUGUGGAGGUCAGUCGAGAUUGAACACACAUUCAUAGAAUCAUAGUAUGAAAUUCAAGUCCAAAUUUUAACACUACGAAACCGAAAAGCAUGCAACUCCGAAGAGCAUUGUUUCAGUCCAACAACCUAAACUUCCUUAAAAAACUAAGACAAAAACGACGACACUAGUAAACGGAAAAACAUGCAACUCAGAAAACCAUUGCUCUAGUCUAAAUGAGGUUCCUCAAUGCCUCAAGCUUUUCUAAACACCAUAGCCUGAACCUUUUCCUUUGCGCCUUCUUUGCUUCACCAGAAACGUUCUUAAUGAGCUUCCUUCAAAUUUGGGACGAGCAGGCAUUAGGCUGUGCACAAUGCUGUAAAUGCCCCUAGCCCUUGCCACACCCUAGGUGCGUACGCUUGCAUGUCCGACCUGAGUUAUCUCAUUACGCG
rnacentral:lncRNA from 1 species